rnacentral:lncRNA from 1 species
UGAUCAGUGCGGUCUUCAGCAAUGACAUCAUGGAAACCAACAUUCUGUAGCAUCUGCAUAGUUUUGAUGUAUACAAGUUAAUGGAGAUCAACAUUUUCUUACACAAACAGCACUAACAAUAUAUCAUCGCAAUUAAGUGGCACCUGUCCAUAAGCCUCUACAUUAUGAAGGUUGUAACCCCUCUGCUUAAUGUAUGCCGCAAACUCUUCAGAUGGUUUCCUGGACUCCUACAGUAAUCACUGAUUAGGACCUUACCCCCCGGUUUUAGCCAUUUGAAGAAACUUCUAAACAAAGUGGGUUUAUCCUGCAAAUACAAAAGCAGCACUAGUCAUAAAACUGUUAUUCUGGCACCAAAUAAGGAAUGACAUAGAGAGUAAUUGUUGGGGAACGUAACAUGCAAUUACAAAAAAAUUCCUACAAUCACGCAAGAUCUAUUUAGGUGAUGCAUAGCAACGAGAGGGAGAGAGUGUGUCCACGUACCAUCGUAGACCGAAAGUGGAAGCGUUAGGUUAACGCGGUUGAUGUAGUCGAACGUCUUCGCGAUCCAACCGAUCAAGUACCGAACGUACGGCACCUCCGAGUUCAGCACACGUUCAGCUCGAUGACGUCCCUCGAACUCUUGAUCCAGCAAAGUGUCGAGGGAGAGUUUCGUCGGCACGACGGCGUGGUGACGGUGAUGGUGAUGUGUUCCGCACAGGGCUUCGCCUAAGCACUACGUGAAUAUGACCGGAGGAGUAAACCGUGGAGGGAGACGCCGCACACGGCUUGGAACAAUUGGCGUGUCUCCAAGGGGUGCCCUGCCCACGUAUAUAAAGGAGGGAGAGGGAGGAGACCGGCCCUAGGGGGCGUGCCAAGUGGGGGAGUCCUACUAGGAUCCCGGUCCUCGUAGGGUUCGCCCCCCACCCCCCUCUUAUUCCUUCUCAUGGAGGGGGGAAGGGGGAAAGAGAGGGAGCACGAGAAGGAAAGGGGGGCGCUGCCCCCUCCCCUAGUCCAAUUCGGACUCCCAUGGGGGGCGUGGCCACCCCUUGUGGGCUGCCUCCUCUCUCUCCUAUGGCCCAUAGUGGCCCAUUACUUUCCCCGGGGGGUUCCGGUAACCUCCCGGUACUUCGAAAAAUACCCAAAACGAUCCGAAAGCGUUCCGGUGUCCGAAUACUAUCGUUCAAUAUAUCAAUAUUUACCUCUCGACCAUUUCGAGACUCCUCGUCAUGUCUGUGAUCUCAUUCGGGACUCCGAACAAUCUUCGGCCACCAAAACACAUAACUCAUAAUACAAAUCAUCAUCGAAUGUUAAGCGUGCGGACCGUACGGGUUCGAGAAAUAUGUAGACAUGACCGAGACAUAUCUCCGGUCAAUAACCAACAGCGGAACCUGGAUGCUCAUAUUGGUUCCUACAUAUUCUACGAAGAUCUUUAUCGGUCAAACCGCAAUGACAAUAUACGUUACUCCCUUUGUCAUCGGUAUGUUACUUGCCCAAAAUUGUAUCGUCGGUAUCCUUAUACCUAGUUCAAUCUCGUUACCAGCAAGUCUCUUUACUCGUUCCAUAAUGCAUCAUCUCGCAACUAACUCAUUAGUUACAUUGCUUGUAAGGCUUAUCGUGAUGUGCAUUACCGAAAGAGCCCAGAGAUACCUCUCCGAUACUCGGAGUGACAAAUCCUAAUCUCGAUCUAUGCCAACCCAACAAAUUAACACCUUCGGAGACACCUGUAGAGCAUCUUUAUAAUCACCCAGUUACGUUGUGAUGUUUGAUAGCACACAAGGUAUUCCUCUGGUAUUCGGGAGUUGCAUAAUCUCAUAGUCAAAGGAAUAUGUAUAAGUCAUGAAGAAACCAAUAACAAUAAAACUUAAUGAUCAUUAUGCUAAGCUAACGGAUGGGUCUAGUCCAUCACAUCAUUCUCUAAUGAUGUGAUCCCGUUCAUCAAAUGGCAACACAUGUCUAUGGUCAGGAAACUUAACCAUCUUUGAUUAACAAGCUAGUCAAGUAGAGGCAUACUAGGGACACUCUGUUUUGUCUAUGUAUUCACACAUGUAUCAAGUUUACGGUUAAUACAAUUCUAGCAUGAAUAAUAAACAUUUAUCAUGAUAUAAGGAAAUAUAAAUAACAACUUUAUUAUUGCCUCUAGGGCAUAUUUCCUUUAGUAAUCACCAAUUGUAGAUGCAAACACAUCAAAUUUUUUGUAGAUGCAAAACUAAGCAUGAUUGUUUUUACAUUUAUCCUACCAAGAUUCGCACUAGCCCAAGAUGGUAUCCAUACUUCAAGGUGAGCACUUGAUAUGUUGUUGUAGUUCAUGCCUUAAUAUGUUGUUAUUGUUCUGUAGUAGACUAACAACAUAUUGUAAUGCCAUUCCAGGAUUGCAUUGGAGCAAUAGAUGGUACUCAUGUCACUGCCAGAGUGCCAAGGUCACAAGCUGCAGCAUAUAGAGAUAGGAAGCACUACAUAACCCAGAAUGUGCUAGCUGUUGUUGACUUUGAUCUGAAGUUCACAUAUGUGUUGGCUGACUGGGAAGGAUCGGUACAUGAUUCUAACAUUCUCAGUGACAGCAUGAGUCAUCGUGAUGGCAUCAACAUCCCCGAUGGCAAGUUCUACCUUGGAGAUGUUGUUUAUGCAUGUCGGCCAGGUGUUCUUCCACCCUUCAGGAAAACCAGGUACCAUUUGAACGAGUUUCCUGGUAGGGACUAUCCUAGGACUCCUCAUGGACUGUUCAAUCUCUGACACUCAAGCCUUAGAGUGACUCAUCAACUCAUCAUUGCAGGAUUCAGUUGUGAAUGAUGCAACAUCCAAGAACAAGCUUCACCUGGGUAGGGUAAGGGUGGAAUGGCUUCUGAUCCAAGAUCUUAAACCUGUUCUUCAAAGCUCCAAAGGCCCUCUCAACUCCGGCCAUGGUAUGCAGGUGUUCGACAAUGAAGUGUGGAAGAACAAAAGGUUGGAGUGGGCUCAGGCAAUGUGGGAUAACAGAGGUCAGACAAGGAUCUAAAACAGAAGAACAAGAGGAAGAAGAAGAAAGAGGCAGCAGCAGAAGCGAGGAAGAGGAAGCAACACAUCAGUAGCAGAGAAAGAGGAAGAGGAUGAACUUGCACCUAGUUAGCAUCAUUGAACUUUACUUAUUCCGCCAUGUUGGCUCUUAAUAACUUGUAUUUUUAUUUGCUAGUAGCUAGGAUAAACUGCCAUUUGUUUUCUAGCUAGGACGAAACAAUGUUCAGUGUCUGUGGUAAGAUCACCACUAGUGAGAAGUGGUGAUCACAUUUUUAGCCGUUUGCAACCAAACAACGUGUUGUUUGUUUAACAACAGCGACACGGGCACCCAAACAGCGUGCUGACUAGUUGAUUCCCUCAUGCAGAAAGUCUAAUGCAGGCAACCAAACUACAUGCAGAUAUUGGUUUUUAGCCUGCAUUUAACCAGAUGUUGAUUUUUAGCCUGCACUUGCCCAAUGAAGAUAAAUGGGUCUUGACUAAUGUUUAUGGACCCUGUCAGCAACAAGAGAGAAUUAACUUUCUCACUUGGUUUCAAGAUUUCCAUAUGCCAGAUGACACUGAUUGGAUUAUUGUGGGGGGUUUCAACUAUGUUAGAUACCCACACAACAGGAGCAGAGAAGGUGGCAACAUCAAUGAUAUGAUUCUUUUUAAUGAGGCUAUUAACAAGUAGGCCUUAAUUGAGAUUCCACUCAAGGGCAGAAAAUUUACUUGGAGAAAUAUGCAAGAGGCUCCAUUACUUGGAAAGCUUGAUUGGUGCUUCACAUCUGAAUCUUGGACACUCAAAUAUCCAGCUACAUUUGCUCUACCACUAGCCAAUACCACCUCAGAUCAUGUUCCAAUCAAAAUCCAAAUUGGCUCCUCUGUCCCUAGAUCAAACAUCUUCAAAUUUGAGAAUUACUGGUUGGAACACCACCAGUUCAAAGAUGUGGUUAAGAAUAUUUGGUCCCAACAACUUGAUGAACUAGACAGUGCAAAAGCUAUUGUGUAACGCCCAUGAUGUGGCUAUAUCUCCCACGUGUCGAAGCACGACUUAGAGGCAUAACCGCAUUGUAAGCAAUGUCGCAAGUGGGGUAAUCUUCACACAACCCAUGUACUAAAUAAGAAAAGAGGUACAUAGUUGGCUUACAAUCGCCACGUCACACAACGCAUAAAAAUAACAUUACAUUCAUCCAGAUACAAUCAAGGUCCGACUACGGAAUCAAAAUAAAGACAACCCCAAAUGCAUAAAGUCCCCGAUCGCCCCAAUUGGGCACUACUACUGAUCAUCUGGAAAGGAAACAUAGUAUCGUUCUGAGUCCUCAUCGAACUCCCACUUAAGCUCAGUCGCAUCUCCUGGAAUGGAAUCAUCGGUCCCUGCAUCUGGUUUUGGAAGUAUCUGUGAGUCACGGGGACUCAGCAAUCUCACACCCUCGCGAUCAAGACUAUUUAAGCUUAUAGGUAGGGUAAAAGGUAUGAGGCGGAGCUGCAGCAAGCACUAGCAUAUAUGGUGGCUAGCAUACGCAGAUGAGAGCGAGAAGAGAAGGAAAAGGCACGGUCGAGAAACUAUGAUCAAUAAGUGAUCCUAGAACAACCUACGAUCAAGCAUAACAGGAGACCGUGUCUCUUCCGGGACUCCGCCGAAAAGAGACCAUCACAGCAACACACUUUGUUGCUUCAUUUUAAUUAAGUUAAGUUUCAGGUUUUCUACAACCGGACAUUAACAAAUUCCCAUCUGCCCAUAACCGCGGGCACGGCUUUCGAAAGUUCAAAACCCUGCAGGGGUGUCCCAACUUAGCCCAUCACAAGCUCUCACGGUCAACGAAGGAUAUUCCUUCUCCCAAGACAACCCGACCAGACUCAGAAUCCCGGUUACAAGACAUCUCGAUAAUGGUAAAACUAAACCAGCAAAGCCGCCCGAAUGUGCCGACAAAUCCCGAUAGGAGCUGCACAUAUCUCGUUCUCAGGGCACACUCGGAUGAGACAUCCUACGAGUAAAACCAACCCUCAAGUUGCCCCGAGGUGGCCCCGCAGUCUACUCGGUGCGGACCAACACUCAGAGGAGCACUGGCCUGGGGGGGUUUAAAAUAAAGAUGACCCUUGAGUCCGCGGAACCCAAGGGAAAAAGAGGCUAGGUGGUGAAUGGUAAAAGCAAGGUUGGGCUUUGCUGGAGGAGUUUUAUUCAAGGUGAACUGUCAAGGGGUUCCCAUUAUAACCCAACCGUGUAAGGAACGCAAAAUCAAGGAACAUAACACCGAUAUGACGGAAACUAGGGCGGCAAGAGUGGAACAAAACACCAGGCAUAAGGUCGAGCCUUCCACCCUUUACCAAGUGUAUAGAUGCAUUAAAAUAGACAAGAUAUAAUAGUGAUAUCCCAACAAUAAACAUGUUGCAACAAGGAACAAACUCCAAUCUUCACCUGUAACUAGCAACGCUAUAAGAGGGGCUGAGCAAAGCGGUAACAUAGCCAAACAACUAUUUUCUAGGACAAGGUAGGUUAGAGGUUUGACAUGGCGAUAAGGGAGGCAUGAUAAGCAAGUGGUAGGUAUCGUAGCAUAGGCAUAGCAAAAGAGUGAGCAUCUAGCAAGCAAAGAUAGAAGUGAUUUCGAGGGUAUGGUCAUCUUGCCUGCAAAGUUCUCCGAGUUGACGUAAGCUUGAUGUAAGAAUUUAAAAAGAAUGAAUAAAACAUGAAGAAACACCGGGAAGGAUUAGCAAAUAAACGAAGAUGCUUGAGAGAAUUUAGAUCCAUGAGAACGAAGAGAUUACGAGCUGAUUAGAGAAUAUUGAAUGAUGCACCGGUAAGAUUGAGAUAAAUAGAGCUGAAAGCUGAGAAUGAAUAGGUCUUAUGAAAUGAUGGGCUUCGGAGAAUCAAACAGAAAAGACUCCUGAAUUGCUCCGAUAGGUGGAAAAAAAAUCUCACAAUCGAAAACAAUUAUGAGAGGAAGGCAUCAAGUUAGAACCAUGGAUCCUUGAGAAAACGGAUAAAAUAUGGAGGAAAACUCUUCUUCGGUCUUCAAAUGUUGAUAAAAGACGACGAGAAACACCACCAUCAAUUGUUUAGACACUCCGGAAGAAUCAAAACAAAGAGGUUGAGCCAAUGAUGAAAAGAAUUCGACAGGUCUUGGGGAAAACAUAAGACUGAUGAUAAUUCAUUCUUACGUCAAACUUUAAAGAAUUUGAGGAUAGCUCCGGGAAAAUAAGAAGAGUCAGGUAAGUUCCUGGGAAAAGACCUGUGGGUUAGGGCCCACUCAAGAGAAACAACGUUGAAAUGAUAUAAAAGAGAGGUUGCACUGGUUGAAUUAAAUGGCUUGAAUGAGGUGACAUCCUCGAAAGAUCUUGAACGAAAGCAGAGUGGAAACACGAAUCUUCUGAGAUAUCUUCGGCACUCUGAAACAAAUGAAUAGCGAGGAGUAGAUGAUUAAGAGGUGCACUGGUAUGAGAAGGUAUUGAAAUGAGGAAAAUAUAUGAUCAACAAAGCUUGUAUUGGAUCCACCGGAGAUGGAAAGAAUGAAAAAUGAUGAACUAGUAGAACAUCUUCUUGAGAACCACCGGGUAAGAAUAUUGACGGAAAAGAAUGGAGAGACUUCACAUGAAUAAAAGGAUACUUGACUAAGACAUCUAAGUCCUUGAAGAAAAAGGGUGGGUGGGCGGGGAAACAAAGGCAACUUGGGGACGGAUGAAACAAACACCGUUGAGAAGAACUGAUAAUUGAUCUUGUGAAUGUUGACAAGAUUGGAUCCAUUUGAAGAGGAGCACACCGGUUGAAAAGAAAUUGAAAAGACAAACUCGAUGAUCGAGAAGGAUAAGUAUUCACAUAGAAAUAUGAGAACACCGCUUAGAAAAGGUAUGGAAUCAACACUUGACUUCGAAGCAACUCGAAUACCACAACUCAAAACAAAACAAAGUAUUGGCUUGCAGAAUAAGCCGGAACAAACAUAUGAUAGAGAUUUCGUCCGAAGUUUUCGUGGUGGGGCCUACACGGCCUCGAUCGUACAGCACCAUCAUGUACAAGGCAGUGCACAUGACAUACUAAGCGUCCCCGAGUCAGCAUAGCCAAGGACUCUUUAAGACACAACGAGACCAUUGUAAAACCAACCGUGAAUAGGCGGACCACUAGAUGUCGAACCCCAAUUUCAUAUCAUACAUCCGUCAGAAAGAUACCUACGAACUACUUGAAUUCCCACUUAUAAACUCCCGAAACUUUCCGGUUAUGCAAUCAGGUGUUGGGGAUACAGGGGAAGCAUAAUAUCUCACCCAAAACUAACAAAUCCUACAUCCAGUUGUAUCUAUCCUUCAACACAUAACCAAGAAACCUUCGGAAAUCAUCUACCUCAACCUUCGAAAAGCAUCCGUUAUACGAGUUAUGGCAAUACUCCCGAACUCCCGCCCCAGUACUGGGUGGCGUCGAGGUUAUCUCACCAACAACUGCAUAAAAGAGAUUUUCGAUGUCGGCGAAACUAAUCUCAGGUAUUCCAGAACUGCAACGAUAAAAUUGUGACGACAACACCUCGGAGCUCAACUCCCCGGGACACUGCCACAACCCCUAAAUGUCAGGAGGCACCAAGAACAAUGUUCUCGUCACAAAACCAUCGGAACGAUUCCAAGAUACCCGCGUGAUCCUAAUUUUUUUAGUGAAAUUUGAGAAGAGAAGAGUCAAAACUCUACGUCAGGAUGCCUCACCAGAGCGACGAAGGGACUGAGGAGUAAAAAGAAGUCCUAACUCUCCGAUAUAUAUAAUUCCUAAAUGACUCAAAACAUUUUUCUAGACUCAAUAGCGCCAGCUAUUCGAUCAAGCAGGGGGCUCCUAAGGUCGGGGAAGGCUCUGAUUACCAACUUGUAACGCCCUUGAUGCGGUUAUAUCUCCCACGUGUCGAAGCACGACUUAGAGGCAUAAGCGCAUUGAAAGCAAUGUCGCAAGUGAGGUAAUCUUCACACAACCCAUGUAAUACAUAAGGGAAAGAGAUACAUAGUUGGCUUACAAUCGCCACUGCACACAAAUACAUGAAUAAAACAUUACGUCAACCAGAUACAAUCAAGGUUCGACUACGGAACCAAAAUGAAAGAAGACUACCCCAAAAGCUACGCAGAUCCCCGAUCGUCCCGACUGGGCUCCACUACUGAUCAACUGGAAAUGGAACAACAUAAGCACAAGAUCUUCACCGAGCUCCUCCUUGAGCUUGGUUGCAUCACCUGUACGGUAUCAUCGGCACCUGCAAACUGGUUUUGGAAGUAUCUGUGAGUCACGGGGACUCAGCAAUCUCACACCCUCGCGAUCAAGACUAUUUAAGCUUAUGGGUAAGGUAAAAGGUAUGAGGUGGAGCUGCAGCAAGCGACUAGCAUAUAUGGUGGCUAACAUACGCAAAUGAGAGCGAGAAGAGAAGGCAAAGCACGGUCGAGAAACUAUGAUCAAGAAGUGAUCCUAGCACAACCUACGUCAAGCAUAACUCCAACACCGUGUUCACUUCCCGGACCCCGCCAAGAAGAGACCAUCACGGUAACACACGUGGUUGGUGCAUUUUAAUAAAGGUCAACUUCAGGUUCUCUACAACCGGACAUUAACAAAUUCCCAUCUGCCCAUAACCGCGGGCACGGCUUUCAAAAGUUCAUAACCCUGCAGGGGUGUCCCAACUUAGCCCAUCACAAGCUCUCACGGUCAACGAAGGAUAUUCCUUCUAGCGGGAAGACCCGAUCAGACUCGGAAUCCCGGUUACAAGACAUCCUCGACAAUGGUAAAACAAGUCCAGCAAGACCACCCAUUGUGCCGACAAUCCCGAUAGGAGCUGCACAUAUCUCGUUCUCAGGGCACACCGGAUAAGCUAAGCGUACGGGAGCCAAUGUAACCCAAGUUGCCAAGGGACGGCCCCGCACGGUGCUCUCGGUUGGACCAACACUUAGACAAGCACUGGCCCGGGGGUUUAAAAUAAAGAUGACCCUUGGGCUGGCCUAACCCAAGGGAAAAAGAGGCUAGGUGGCGAAUGGUAAAACCAAGGUUGGGCCUUGCUGGAGGAGUUUUAUUCAAAGCGAACUGUCAAGGGGUUCCCAUUAUAACCCAACCGCGUAAGGAACGCAAAACCCGGGAACAUAACACCGAUAUGACGGAAACUAGGGCGGCAAGAGUGGAACAAAACACCAGGCAUAAGGCCGAGCCUUCCACCCUUUACCAAGUAUAUAGAUGCAUUAAUUAAAUAAGAGAUAUUGUGAUAUCCCAACAAGUAAACAUAUCCCAACAAGGAACAACAUCUCCAUGUUCCAACAAGGAACAAACUUCAAUCUUCACCUGCAACUAACAACGCUAUAAGAGGGGUUGAGCAAAGCGGUAACAUAGCCAAACAACGGUUUGCUAGGAUAAGGUGGGAUAGAGGCUUGGCUUAACAAUAUGGGAGGCAUGAUAAGCAAGUGGUAGGUAUCGCAGCAUAGGCAUAGAAAAAGAGCGAGCAACUAGAAAGCAAAGAUAGAAGUGAUUUCGAGGGUAUGGUCAUCUUGCCUGAAAUCCCGCAAGGAAGAAGAACGAGUCCAUGAAGAAGACAAACGGACAUAGUCGAACGGGUCCUCACAAACGCGACGUUAUCGGAACCAACCCGAAGACGCAACACCGGAAAGAAGCACACAACAUAGUAAACAACCACCACAUAAACAUGGCAUGAUGCACAACCAAGUAUGAUGCAUGUCCGGUUUAAUGAGGCAUGGCAUGGCAAAGUGCACAAACAAUCCUACAAAUUAAGUGGAGCUCAUUAUGCAACGGAGUUGCAUAUUGACGAAACACCACGUUCCAUUAUUUAGUUCACUCUUGGUUAGGUACUCAACAAAUUUAAAUGGUGUUAAACAUGGCAAGAGGUGAGGCAAAAGAAAACUACACAUUUAAGCAAGUUUAAAUGAGGCCGGAAACAACAACAACAAUUCCGGUAAAUCCUCAUGUGCAUUAGUAAAUUAAUGCAAACAAUAAUUUUAAACAUUCAAAUGUUGUUAACAUGAUGCGGAUGACAUGUUCAAGUUUUAUGCAAGUUUUAUUAAAAGUUGACAUGAUAAGAGAUGAGGCAUUUGACAUCGUGGCGGAAACAAAAGGGGUGCCACGGCGACGAAACAGAAAUAAUGCCGCGGCAACAUUCCGAUGAUCUGGUAGCUCACGGGGAUACCGGUGCAAAAGAAAGUGGGUGUGAGCGAGUAAAACAAGAUGGUGGGGUGAUCCCGGUAACCGGGUUCCCACGGGUUAGCGGCAAACAAGGAGGGCCGAGCAAGCAGCGACUCGACCAUGGUGCAAACGUGGGCAUCUCAUAUAAUACAUCACAUGCAUAUGUUCCACGGGCAUCAUUCCGGCGGUUAUACCUUCCAAAGGUGCAUUUAUGGAGUGGUUCGAGUUCGACAAAGGAAGUAGGCGUUCUCGCGACGGUAGUGGUACACGGACGUCGUGGAAGUAGUUGUUCUCGCACGCUCUAGGGUCGAUGGUAGAGGUUCUCGUGACGGCGGUAGUGGUACAUGUUUAUCGUUGCACGAGUUUCCAUAGACGUUCAUGUCAUCGGUGUCGUGGUACUUUGGGUCUUCGGACUUUCCGGUCCCGUUCUUGCGACAGUAGUCGUUCACGUUCGUUCAGAGAGGUACUUGAUGACUCCAACGUCUUUGGGGCAACGGUAGUUGUACACGGUCCACGAGACGUCGAUCGUUCGGGGUCCGACUUGCGGGUCUUGUCGACAUGAGUGGUACUUGGCGUUUUUGUGUAGACGAACUUGGCGCAUCCGAAGGGGUACUUGACGCGUUCGAGGGUCGUCAUGUCAUGGUACUUGGCAAAUUCCUUGGAGAAGGUGCUUGACAGUCCGGGUACGGGUCUUGGCGUGUCGUUCUUGUCGAUCCAAAACCCGGCAAGACGAAAGGACCUCAGGCGGGCAGCAGCAAGGAGGCGAUGGCGCACACACUGGACAUGGGGCAGGGCGAGGAGAAGGCACACGGCUCGGUGACGAGGAGAACCAGCGGUUCCAGGGGGUGGAGGUGACGAUGCUGGGGCGUGGGAGGCCCCUACCAGCAUGGACAAGGCAAGGAGAAGGAGGCGUUGGCCUUGCCGAGGCCAGCAGCACGCCGCGUCGGGACAGGAGGCCGAAAAGUCUCAGGGAGGCGCAGCCAUGGCAGGGCCUAAUGGGUCCGGACGGGGGCGGUAUUUGGCGACGGAGGGCGACGCGAGGCAGAGGAGGAGCAAGGCGGCGGCAACUCAGAGCUCAGGGACGAGGCAUGGAGGUCGAGGUCGCCGGUGGAGUUUGCGAGGUGGCGCUCGGCGUCCCUGUCGAUGCGGCAGCGCGGAGAGCUCGGGACGACUCCCGCGGAGGAGCAGAGAGGAUCAGGUCGAGGGGAUGCAGCGAGAAAGGCCACGGCGACCGGAGGAGAAGGACGAGGGGACCGGGCUCGAGGGGAUCGGGCUCGGGCGCUGGGGAUCACUGGGAGAGAGUGAGGCUGCGAGGGAGAUGGGGGGUCAGGAAGAGCGCGGCUGACAGGAUCGAUGUGUGCGUGAGUCUCUGGCGGCGGUGAGGGAAAACAAGAGGAGAUCGAGCCAAGGCUCGCUAGGGCAAAAGGGGAUCGGGCACUACUGGGCCUGGUGCGGGAGAUGGGCGGCCCAGGUGUGGAUGGCCUAGGAGGUAGGCAGGGGCGCGACUAGGCCUAGGGAGGCCCAGUUGGGCUCUCCGCUUUCUCUCACUCUUUCCCACCUUUUUCCAUUUAAAAUAAAAUAGAAAAAGAGAAAGAAAAGAAAGAGAAGGUAGGGGAGGACUCUCGGCAUGGGGAUAAUUUUCACGAACUCGUGAAAAUGUGCGCGGCCCGAGAAAAUAGGAAAGGUCAAGUUUGAAAGAUUAAAUUCAAUUUCAUUUGAAUUUAAUUCAAAAGGUUUGAACUAGGACAGGUUUUUCGAAGUGCCCAAAAACGUUGAGAAAAUAGGUGGAGCUCAGGAAAAGGACGAAAAGGACAUGUGGCAAAUUUAGAGGCCAAGAGUUGAAAUAACAAAAGGCAUUGGGAUUUUUGCAAGUGUGUUAUGGUGAAUUUCAAAAUAAAGAAAUAUUGAAUAUAGCUCCCUACUAUCGGAAGGAUAUGUUUUUAAGAGAGACCACCAUGUGAAUUCCCUCGAAUUAAAUAGAUCAACGAUCUAUGCAAUUUUAUUUAUUUGAGUUAUUAAAAAGGUUGCGAGAUGACAUGUUGCAAUGCACAUGAUGCAAGGAUGAAAUGCAACGAACCAAACAAUUCACACGACGAAACCCGGAAACCCUGGAAGGCAUCUGAAGCUCCGGUCUUGGGGCGUUACACUUGAUCCUCGUAAACGUUCUCAACGGGCUCCUCGAUCACGUACUCGUCUCCCGGCCCUACCCAAGCAAGAACGCAAAAAAGGGAGACACAAUCAACCACGGUGCAAUGCACAAGCAACAUGAUGCGAAACAUGGCAUGAUAUGCGGGAUGUGAUAUGCGAUGCAUAUGCAUGUUUCGGAAAGGAAAGAUUGAACCUGGCCUCAACUUGGAAAACCAAGAGUGCCACUGGAAAGAUGAGUUGAUUUCGGUCGAAAUCGAUAUAAAGAUCACCGGAAUCGGAUGCACGGUUUGCAAAUGGCAAGCAAAACAAAUAUGGCACGAUCUGCGAUUAACAGCACGAGGCCAUCUAAAUGCAUCAAGAACAAUAAGCUACUGCACUCUAACAUAACAACAAGUCACAUGGCAGGGAUCCACUCAAGAUUCUUGACAAAAGAUGAACAUUGAGCUAUGGCUAAUUCACUCAAUAGCAUGUUCAAACAAGCAUGGAAAAAGUGCAAAAGAUAACAGGUUACAGACUUAGUGAAAAUAACAUGUCAGGAAUUUAACAUCAGGAACCAAUGUUUAUAGCAAGAUAACAACAGCUACGGGAACAUAUCAUGGCAAAGCGAGGUAUGGCAUGAAGCUACUCAAAGCAUACAACAAAAGUCUAUUACUGACCAUAAGCCAAAAGGGAUCAUAAAAUACAAUGGCAACCAUGUGAACAUAGCAACUUUGUUUAACAGAUUCACACUUAGUAGAAAACUGGAACAUGGUAAAACAGAUUCACAUAGGCAAGUUUACGAGCUCGAUGCACUCACCACAAGGCAUUUCAUGAAAAACUAAGCAUACACCCAGCAAGUAGACAUGGCAUAGAAGCUAAACAUGGCAAGAACACUCUCAUAGCAUGCACGAAUCAACUACAACAACCUCGGAAAAAUUGCUUAACAUGUAAACAAUCUGUCAGGAAUAUUUUAUAGCAAAAGUAGAGCUUGAUUGAGUCAUGCUAGGGGACUCCAUAAUUGCAAACAAAGACAUGGAUGGAUAGAGCAUAACAAUAGCUCUCGUAAUGUUGCUCUCAUAACAAUCUGCCGGUCGGAACAGGCGCCGGCGACGAUGGGGAACGGCGGGGAGCGACGAGGGGCGGCGGAGCUGGUGCGGCGGUGCGGCGGCGGCGGAGCUGGUGCGGCGGUACGGUGGCGGCGGAGCANNNNNNNNNNNNNNNNNNNNNNNNNNNNNNNNNNNNNNNNNNNNNNNNNNNNNNNNNNNNNNNNNNNNNNNNNNNNNNNNNNNNNNNNNNNNNNNNNNNNNNNNNNNNNNNNNNNNNNNNNNNNNNNNNNNNNNNNNNNNNNNNNNNNNNNNNNNNNNNNNNNNNNNNNNNNNNNNNNNNNNNNNNNNNNNNNNNNNNNNNNNNNNNNNNNNNNNNNNNNNNNNNNNNNNNNNNNNNNNNNNNNNNNNNNNNNNNNNNNNNNNNNNNNNNNNNNNNNNNNNNNNNNNNNNNNNNNNNNNNNNNNNNNNNNNNNNNNNNNNNNNNNNNNNNNNNNNNNNNNNNNNNNNNNNNNNNNNNNNNNNNNNNNNNNNNNNNNNNNNGAGGCGGGCCGGGAGGGCCUGCCCUAGGCCCGGACGGGCCGGCGAAGUGGGGCGCGCGGGCGACGAGUGGGGAGGCAACACGUGGUGGCACGGGAUCCUGUCUGGCGGCGGGCGGACGCGUCCGGCCGCGCGGAGGUGAGGGGAGCUAGGGUUAGGGGUGAUUUGAUCUGGGAUUUGGAAUGGGAGGACCUUUUUAUAGGUAGAAGGAGCUAGGAGGCUCCAAAUUGAGCAUGGUUUUCGGCCACGCGAUCGUGAUCGAAUGACCGAGAUGAUGGAGGGGGUUUGGCUGGGCUUUGGGCCACUUUCGAGGGGUGUUGGGCUGCAACACACACGAGACCUUUACGGUUCCUCGGUUAACCGUUGGAGUAUCAAACGAAGUCCAAAUGGCACGAAACUUGACAGGCGGUUUACCGGUAGUGAACCAAGGCCGCUUGGCAAGUCUCAUUCCAAUCCGAAAACGUUUAACACCCGCACACGAAAAGAGGUAAAAGGGGACACCGGAGGACAUAGGAGCGCCAGAAUGCAAAAUGGACAACGGGGAAACUUCUCGGAUGCAUGAGACGAACACGUAUGCAAAUGCGAUGCACAUGAUGACAUGGUAUGAGAUGCAUGACAAAGACAAAAGCAACACGAAGACAAAAACCCGACAACGAGGAAAUAUCAUAACUUAGUGCCGGAAAUGGCAAGAGUUGGAAUACAAAUAUGGCAGGUUACAUAUGGGGCGUCACAACACUCCACCACUACGAAAGGAUCUCGUCCCAAGAUCUAGGACUGGAAAAAUUCCGGGUACUCGGAACGGAGGUGGUCCUCACGUUCCUAGGUGGCUUCACGGUCGGAAUGAUGUGACCACUUCACUUUCAGGAAUUUGAUAGACUUGUUGCGAGUCUUGUGCUCUGUUUCUUCAAGAAUAGCAACGGGGUGCUCACGAUAAGACAGGUCUUCUUGGAGAUCAAUCUCUUCAAAGUUGAUGGUGCGGUCAGGAGUCUUGAAACACUUGCAGAGCUGAGACACGUGAAACACGUCGUGCACAUUUGCAAAGUUGGAUGGAAGCUCAAGUUGAUAGGCAAGAUCGCCUCUUUUGCCAAUGAUCUUGAAAGGACCCACGUAUCUAGGGGCAAGCUUCCCUUUGAUACCGAAGCGAUGAGUACCUUUCAUUGGAGAGACGCGGAGGUAGACAUGGUCUCCGAUCUCGAAAGCCAAGUCACGAUGUUUGCUAUCAUAGUAACUCUUCUGGCGCGAUUGCGCGGCUUUGAGAUUUUCACGAAUGACUUUGCACAUUUCUUCAGCCUCUGUGAUCAAGUCAUUGCCAAGAAGUUGGCGUUCACUAGUCUCUGACCAGUUAAGAGGAGUACGACACUUCCUGCCAUAGAGAAACUCGAAUGGGGCCUUGCCCGAACUCGCUUGAAAGCUGUUGUUGUAGGAGAAAUCCGCAUAUGGAAGACAAUCUUCCCACUUCAUACCAAAAGAAAUGACACAAGCCCUGAGCAUAUCUUCAAGAAUUUGAUUGACUCGCUCGACUUGUCCACUGGUUUGAGGAUGAAAGGUUGUGUUGAAGCGAAUGUUGGUGCCCAUGGCCUUCUGAAAAGAAUCCCAGAACUUAGAGGUGAAGAUGCUACCAUGAUCUGAAGAUAUCAACUGCGGAAUGCCGUGCAAGGAGACAAUCCUGGAGGUAUAUAGCUCUGCCAACUAAGCUGUUGUGAUAGAUUCUUUGAUAGAAGAAAAUGAGCCACUUUGGUGAGCUUGUCGAUGACCACGAAGAUAGCAUCAUUGCCACACUUUGACUUUGGAAAUCCAGUCACGAAGUCCAUCUCAAUAUGGUCAAACUUCCAUUCUGGAAUGGCAAGAGGUUGGAGGAGACCAGCUGGUCGUUGGUGUUCCGCUUUCACUCUUCUGCAGACAUCACAUUCAUUCACGAACUGAGCAAUCUCGCGCUUCAUUCGAGUCCACCAAUACGACUGCUUAAGGUCAUGGUACAUCUUUGUACUACCAGGGUGGAUAGAGAGGAGUGAAUUGUGAGCCUCGUUCAUAAUGAAUUUACGAAGGUCACCUUUAGGAACAACAAUUCGAUCCUCGAAGAAAAGAGUAUCCUUGUCAUCAAGGCGAUAGCACUUGUACUUGGGUUGACUCUUGGCAAUCCCAAUCUUCACCUUCUUCACCAUAGCAUCAAGCAGUUGAGCCUCACGAAUCUGAUCUUCCAAAGUAGGAGAGACUUGGAGGUUGGCAAGGAAUCCUUGAGGAACAACUUGGAGAUUAAGUUUGCGGAAAGCUUCACAAAGCUCUGGUUGGUAGGGCUUGAUAAUCAAACUGUUGCAGUAAGCCUUCCUGCUCAAUGCGUCAGCAAUUACAUUGGCCUUGCCUGGAGUAUAUUCAAUACUCGGAUUAUACUCUUGAAUCAUCUCGACCCAACGAGUCUGCCUGAGGUUGAGGUUGGGCUGAGUGAAGGUGUACUUGAGACUCUUAUGAUCAGUGAAGAUGUCCACUUUUCUUCCCAACAAGAGAUGUCUCCAUGUUAAAAGAGCAUGGACAACUGCCGCCAACUCGAGGUCAUGAGUGGGGUAGUUCUUUUCGUUGGGCUUCAACUGGCGAGAGGUAUAGGCCACAACUUUCUUCUCUUGCAUCAAUACUGCACCGAGACCUUGAAGGGAAGCAUCACAGAAGACCUCGAACGGUUUGGAUUCAUCAGGAGGAGUCGGAACUGGAGUAGUGACUAACUUCUCUUUGAGGGUGUUGAAAGCGAUGUCACAUUCAGGGGACCAGACAUACUUCACAUGCUUCUGGAGAAGGUUGGAAAGAGGCUUCGCGAUCUUUGAGAAGUUCUCAACGAACCUUCGACAAUAGCUUGCAAGCCCAAGGAAGCUGCGGAGUUGCUUCACAUUCUGAGGCGGUUCCCAAUUCACAAUUGCAGACACCUUCUCAGGAUUAACAGCUAUGCCCUUGGCAGAGAUGAUAUGUCCAAGAUAGAGAACCUCAUCGAGCCAAAACUCGCACUUUGAAAACUUCACAUAGAACCGAUGUUCUCUGAGUUUGUCCAGAACCAAUCUCAAGUGCUUGGCAUGAUCCUCCUUGUUCUUGGAAAAGACCAAAAUGUCAUCGAGGUAGACCAAGACGAAGUCAUUUGUGUAGGCGUUGAAGAUGAAGUUCAUCAUGCGAGAGAAUGUUGGAGGAGUAUUGACAAGGCCGAAAGACAUGACAGUGUAUUCAUAUGAACUAUAGCUUGUUCUGAAUGUUGUCUUGGGGAUAUCUUCUUCACAAAUGCGAAUCUGAUGAUAGCCCAUACGGAGGUCAAGCUUGGAGAAUACUUGAGCACCUUUGAGUUGUUCGAAAAGCUCAUUGAUGUUGGGAAGUGGGUACUUGUUCUUUAUGGUCUUCUUGUUCAAUGGACGAUAGUCGACACAAAAUCGGUCCGUUCCAUCCUUCUUCUUGACAAAAAGAACACCACAACCCCAUGGAGAAGAACUUGGUCGGAUGAGACCCAUACGCUCUUGAAUAUCGAGUUCUUUCUUCAGCUCCUUCAACUCUUCAAGUCCAAGCUUGUAAGGACGUUUGCAAACAGGUUCCGUGCCAGGCUCAAGAUCGAUGACGAAUUCAACUGGCCAGUCCGGAGGCAUUCCUGGAAGCUCUUCUAGAAAGACGUCUUGAUAUUCGCAAACGACUGGAAUCUGAGAGAUGGCAUCCAACUCGCCCUUCUCGUUGAGAAAAAAACAAUCGAAUGGUAUUAUCACGAGCGGCAAAGACGAUUACAUCCUCAGACGAAUGUGUCAAUUGAAUCUGUCUGGCAGCACAAUCAAGGUGAGCCUUGUGCUUAGAAAGCCAGUCCAUUCUAAGAAUAAGAUCAAUAUCCGAGUUACCAAGGACCACUGGAGAGGACAGAAACUUAUAGUCGCCCAACGUGAUAGAGACAUCGGGAGCAACCAAACUAGAAGUCAUAAGCUUUCCGGGAGAAACAACUUGCAUGACUUUGGGCAAAACCUCUGUGUCAACAUUGUGCUUCGAUGCAAAAGGGAAUGACAAGAAAGAAUGCGAUGCACCAGUAUCAAAAAGAACUCUUGCAGGAAUAUCGUUAACAGGAAGGUUACCCAUGAUCACAUCUGACGAGUCCUCUGCCUGAGCUGCGUUCAUCAUGUUGACCUUUGCAAACUUGGGAUUAUGCUUGACCACUGCAGUGCUAGCAGAUCUCACUCGAGGGGGAGGAGGAAGACGCUUCUGAUUGAAGCAUUUGUUGGCAUAGUGACCCUUCUGCUGACACUUGUUGCACGUGACCUCCGAGAGCGGACGGUGAUACGGAGCACUUGAUCUUGGAGCAUGAGACGAAGUCUUGUUCUGAAAGCCUGGGUUGAGUGGGUGGGAAGAUCCAUUGCCACCUUUGCUCUUCUGCUAAUAAGGCUAACGAAACGGAGGAGGAGGAGGCAACCAAUACUUUUGCUGCUUAGUUGCCACUUGAGUUGAGGAAGAAGGAGUUGCAUCCCUGACUCGUUUGUUGGAAGCAUCGCACUUGAGUUGAGCAGUCUCUUAUUUCAGUGCCAUGUUGUAAAACUCAUCAUACUUCUUCGGCUCGAAAAGCACGAGAGCUAGUUGGAGAUCUUUUCUGAGGCCACCUCUGAACUGAUAAAUCAUGCUCUUCUCAUCAGGGACGUCUUGCUUAGCGAAACGAGCGAGCUUCUGGAACAUGAUGUUAUACUGGUAAACAGACAAGCUGCCUUGCUUCAGGUUGCGGAACUCCUCACACUUGCUCUCAACAACACUCUGAGGAAUGUGGUGAGCUUUGAAGUCUUGACGGAAUUCAUCCCAGGUAAUCACACGACCUCCUCUGGAAUCUUUGUAUUGCUGAUACCAUUCUGCAGCUUGGUCUUUGAGUUGGAACGAGGCAAACUUGACAAAGUCCUCAGGCCUGACGUUGCUGCACUCGAAAUGCUUGCAGAUAUCCACGAGCCAAUCAUCAGCGUUUGUUGCCUCGACACAGUUACUGAAGGUCUUUGGCUGGUUAGCGAGGAACUGGUUGAGUGUAGCAAACUGAUUCUAAUUGUUGUCAUGGCCUUGAAUCCCUUGGUUGCGCUCUUGUAAGAGUUGCAUAAGCAUCUGUGUGUUGGUAUUGGUAGCGGCCAUCACAGCUUGCCAUGCCUCCGGAGGUGGAGGUGGUGGCGGCGGUUCAGGAUUCUGACGCGUUGGAGGAGCCAUCCUAAAGAGGGUGACAUCCGUUAGCAUCUUGAGAGACAUAUAUUCAAGCUGAAUGAAAUGGAUCAAAAUUGCAACAUAUAGUCUUAACAUUCGAACAAGAAUGAACGAAUGCAAUCCAAAUUAAAUGGUCACACUUCCAUAAAUUGAGAAGCCACUUAGAGGUAGAAGAAUUAAAACAACAAGGUACGGACAAGAACAAAUACUUGGUGAGGAUUACCCAAUCACAAACCAAAUAUCUGCAGAAGAAAUACUAGAGGUACAUGAAUUCCCACCUAUGAAACUCCCAAAAUUUUCCCGGUUAUGCAAUCAGGUGUUGGGGAUACAGGGGAAGCAUAAUAUCUCACCCAAAGCUAGCAAAUCCUACAUCCAGUUGUAUCCAUCCUUCAACACAUAACCAAGAAACCUUCGGAAAUCAUUUACCUCAACCUUCGAAAAGCAUCCAUUAUACGAGUUAUGGCAAUACUCCCAAACUCCCGCCCAAGUACUGGGUGGCGUCGAGGUUAUCUCACCAACAACUGCAUAAAAGAGAUUUCCGAUGUCGGCGAAACUCGGGUAUUCCAGAACUGCAACGAUAAAAUUGUGACGACAACACCUCGGAGCUCAACUCCCCGGGACACUGCCACAACCCCUAAAUGUCAGGAGGCACCAAGAACAAUGUUCUCGUCACAAAACCAUCGGAACGAUUCCAAGAUACCCGCGUGAUCCUAAUUUUUUUAGUGAAAUUUGAGAAGAGAAGAGUCAAAACUCUACGUCAGGAUGCCUCACCAGAGCGACGAAGGGACUGAGGAGUAAAAAGAAGUCCUAACUCUCCGAUAUAUAUAAUUCCUAAAUGACUCAAAACAUUUUUCUAGACUCAAUAGCGCCAGCUAUUCGAUCAAGCAGGGGGCUCCUAAGGUCGGGGAAGGCUCUGAUUAACAACUUGUAACGCCCUUGAUGCGGCUAUAUCUCCCACGUGUCGAAGCACGACUUAGAGGCAUAAGCGCAUUGAAAGCAAUGUCGCAAGUGAGGUAAUCUUCACACAACCCAUGUAAUACAUAAGGGAAAGAGAUACAUAGUUGGCUUACAAUCGCCACAUGACACAAUGCAUAAAAAUAACAUUACAUUCGUCCAGAUACAAUCAAGGUCCGACUACGGAACCAAAAUAAAGACAACCCCAAAUGCAUAAAGUCCCCGAUCGCCCCAACUGGGCACCACUACUGAUCGUCUGGAAAGGAAAUGUAGUAUCGUCUUGAGUCCUCAUCGAACUCCCACUUAAGCUCAAUCGCAUCUCCUGGAACGGAAUCAUCGGUCCCCGCAUCUGGUUUUGGAAGUAAUCUGUGAGUCAAGGGGACUCAGCAAUCUCACACCCUCGCGAUCAAGACUAUUUAAGCUUAUAGGUAGGGUAAAAGGUAUGAGGUGGAGCUGCAGCAAGCACUAGCUUAUAUGGUGGCUAACAUACGCAAAUGAGAGCGAAAAGAGAAGGCAAAGGCAUGGUCGAGAAACUAUGAUCAGUAAGUGGUCCUAGAACAACCUACAAUCAAGCAUAACACGAGACUGUGUUCUCUUCCCGGACUCCGCCGAAAAAAGACCAUCACAGCCACACACUCUGUUGAUUCAUUUUAAUUAAGUUAAGUUUCAGGUUUUCUACAACCGGACAUUAACAAAUUCCCAUCUGCCCAUAACCGCGGGCAUGGCUUUCGAAAGUUCAAAACCCUGCAGGGGUGUCCCAACUUAGCCCAUCACAAGCUCUCAUAGUCAGCGAAGGAUAUUCCUUCUCCCAAGACAACCCGAUCAGACUCGAAAUCCCGGUUACAAGACAUCUCGACAAUGGUAAAACUAAACUAGCAAAGCCGCCCGAAUAUGCCGACAAAUCCCGAUAGGAGCUGCACAUAUCUCGUUCUCAGGGCACACUCGGAUGAGACAUCCUACGAGUAAAACCAACCCUCAAGUUGCCCCGAGGUGGCCCCGCUGUCUACUCGGUGCAGACCAACACUCAGAGGAGCACUGGCCCGGGGGGGUUAAAAUAAAGAUGACCCUUGGGUCCGCGAAACCCAAGGGAAAAAGAGGCUAGGUGGUGAAUGGUAAAACCAAGGUUGGGCUUUGCUGGAGGAGUUUUAUUCAAGGCGAACUGUCAAGGGGUUCCCAUUAUAACCCAACCGUGUAAGGAACACAAAAUCAAGGAACAUAACACCGGUAUGACAGAAACUAGGGCGGCAAGAGUGGAACAAAACACCCGGCAUAAGGCCGAGCCUUCCACCCUUUACCAAGUGUAUAGAUGCAUUAAAAUAGACAAGAUAUAAUAGUGAUAUCCCAACAAUAAAUAUGUUCCAACAAGGAACAAACUCCAAUCUUCACCUGCAACUAGCAACACUAUAAGAGGGGCUGAGCAAAACGGUAACAUAGUCAAACAACGGUUUGCUAGGACAAGGUGGGUUAGAGGUUUGACAUGGCGAUAAGGGAGGCAUGAUAAUCAAGUGGUAGGUAUCGUAGCAUAGGCAUAGCAAAAGAGCAAGCAUCUAGCAAGCAAAGAUAGAAGUGAUUUCGAGGGUAUGGUCAUCUUACCUGCAAAGUUCUCCGAGUUGACGUAAGCUUGAUCCUCGUAAACGUUCUCAACGGGCUCCUCGAUCACGUACUCGUCUCCCGGCUCUACCCAAGCAAGAACACAAAAAAGGGAGACACAAUCAACCACGGUGCAAUGCACAAGCAACAUGAUGCGAAACAUGGCAUGAUAUGCGGGAUGUGAUAUGCGAUGCAUAUGCAUGUUUCGGAAAGGAAAGAUUGAACCUGGCCUCAACUUUGAAAACCAAGAGUGCCACUGGAAAGAUGUGUUGAUUUCGGUCGAAAUCGAUAUAAAGAUCACCGGAAUCGGAUGCACAGUUUGCAAAUGGCAAGCAAAACAAAUAUGGCACCGAUCUGCGAUUAACAGCACGAUGCCAUCUAAAUGCAUCAAGAACAACAAGCUACUGCACUCUAACAUAACAACAAGUCACAUGGCAGGGAUCCACUCAAGAUGCUUGACAAAAGAUGAACACUGAGUUACGGCUAAUUCACUAAAUAGCAGGUUCAAACAAGCAUGGCAAAAGUGCAAAAGAUAACAGGUUACAGACUUAGUGAAAAUAACAUGUCAGGAAUUUAACAUCAGGAAGCAAUGUUUAUAGCAAGAUAACAAUAGCUACAGGAACAUAUCAUGGCAAAGCAAGGCAUGGCAUGAAGCUACUCAAAGCAUACAACAAAAGUCCCUUACUGACCAUAAGCCAAAAGGGAUCAAAAAAUACAAUGGCAACCAUGUGAACAUAGCAACUUUCGUUAACAGAUUCAGACUUAGUAGAAAACUGGAACAUGGUAAAACAGAUUCACAUAGGCAAGUUUACGAGCUCGAUGCACUCACCACAAGGCAUUGCAUGACAAACUAAGCAUACACCCAGCAAGUAGACAUGGCAUAGAAGCUAAACAUGGCAAGAACACUCUCAUAGCAUGCACGGAUCAACUACAACAACCUCGGCAAAAUUGCUUAACAUGUAAACAAUCUGCCAGGAACAUUUUAUAGCAAAAUUAGAGCUCGAUUGAGUCAUGCUAGGGGACUCCAUAAUUGCAAACAAAGACAUGGAUGGAUAGAGCAUAAUAAUAACUCAAAAUCACCCUUACUGAACAUGCUCAAAAAAGGCAUGGAUCACUCUGUAGCAACAAGAAUACAUGGCAUAAAAAUAUUAACAGGGCAAAGACUUAGAAGAUUUCUAAAUCCCUGAAAUCAGCAACAUUAGGAGAGCUACUUUGCAUGCUUGUGCUAGCCACCACAAAGAUCACAAAAAUACAUGGCAUACACCCUUGUAAAGAUGGCAUGGCAUACUUUAAAACACAUGUAGGGCUCAAGCUCAUAGGAGGCACACAUUAAACAUGGCAAAAAUGACAAAUGUCCAAUUACUGAUAAGAGUCUGAAACUAAUAUUGCAUAGCACUCUUGCAACAACAUUUAGGGCAUCAAGAUGAGCUCAUAUGAACAUGGUGCAAUGGAUGAAAUGAAUUGACACGAACAAUUUGACAUGCUACACGUCCAAAACGGAGCCACGGAUGCAAAGAUAUGGCAUGAUGAAAUAUGCUAAAAGUUACUAGGACUUAGGGCAAAAAUUAGGUCAACCUCCCAGAUCUAGAUCAGGGCGGCGCGGAAACCGAGGUCCACCGGAGAUGGAGCCCGCCAGAGUUGGAGGGGUUUGCCGGAGGAAGGUCGCGGGAGGUCGGGGCGGCGAGAUCCGGGCUGCUCCUGCCCGGAUCCGGCCGGAACAGGCGCCGGCGACGGCGGGGAACGGCGGGAAGUGACGAGGGGCGGCGGAGUUGGUNNNNNNNNNNNNNNNNNNNNNNNNNNNNNNNNNNNNNNNNNNNNNNNNNNNNNNNNNNNNNNNNNNNNNNNNNNNNNNNNNNNNNNNNNNNNNNNNNNNNNNNNNNNNNNNNNNNNNNNNNNNNNNNNNNNNNNNNNNNNNNNNNNNNNNNNNNNNNNNNNNNNNNNNNNNNNNNNNNNNNNNNNNNNNNNNNNNNNNNNNNNNNNNNNNNNNNNNNNNNNNNNNNNNNNNNNNNNNNNNNNNNNNNNNNNNNNNNNNNNNNNNNNNNNNNNNNNNNNNNNNNNNNNNNNNNNNNNNNNNNNNNNNNNNNNNNNNAGGCGGGCCGGGAGGGCCUGCCCUGGGCCCGGACGGGCCGGCGAAGUGGGGCGCGCGGGCGAUGAGUGGGGAGGCGACAUGUGGCGGUGCGGGAUCCUGUCCGGCGGCGGGCGGACGCGUACGGCCUUGCUGAGGUGAGGGGAGCUAGGGUUAGGGGUGAUUUGAUCCGGGAUUUGGAAUGGGAGGACCUUUUUAUAGGUAGAGGGAGCUACGAGGCUCCAAAUUGAGCAUGAUUUUCGGCCAUGCGAUCAUGAUCGAACAACCGAGAUGAUGGAGGGGGUUUGGCUGGGCUUUGGGCUACUUUCGAGGGGUGUUGGGCUGCAACACACACGAGACCUUUACGGUUCCUCGGUUAACCGUUGGAAUAUCAAACGAAGUCCAAAUGGCACGAAACUUGACAGACGGUUUACCGGUAGUGAACCAAGGCCGCUUGGCAAGUCUCGUUCCAAUCCGAAAAUGUUUAACACCCGCACACGAAAAGAGGUAAAAGGGGACACCGGAGGACAUAGGAGCUCCGGAAUGCAAAACGGACAACGGGGAAAAUGCUUGGAUGCAUGAGACGAACACGUAUGCAAAUGCGAUGCACAUGAUGACAUGAUAUGAGAUGCAUGACAAAGACAAAAGCAACACGAAGACAAAAACCCGACAACGAGGAAAUAUCAUAACUUAGUGCCGGAAAUGGCAAGAGUUGAAACACAAAUAUGGCAGGUUACAUAUGGGGCGUUACAUAUUGCUAUUAAAUUCAAGAAAUUGAGGAAAGGCUUAAAGAAUUGGGCGAAAGGGCUAUCAGAUUUGAAGAAGAUCAUAGCAGACACUAAUUUUAUGAGCCUAUGCUAUGAUACUUUAGAGGAAUUCAAAGAUUUAUCAGUGGAAGAAUAUCAGUGCCGUCUCUAGAAAUUCAGGGCCCCGGUGCGAAACGAAAAAUGGGGCCCUAAACUUACUAGAAUAUGCAAGUUUUUUUAUAAUCAAACAUUGCAUGAAUUAUAGGCUUAUAUGAAGAUCAUGUAAGAAAAAGGGCUAAACCCUGAAUGUUGAACGAGUAACUAUGUUGAAAAUCUUGGUGUGUGACAACUUGAUCAACUGGCCUACUAUAUAUCUUUCCUAAAUAUUUUGAUUGAUUGACUGAUGCAUAUGCAGAUAAUAUAUUCUCACAAAUAUAACUAUUCAACGUAACAAAAAUAGUCUAAAUUAAAAAGGAAUUCAGUUUGAGCGCACCUAGUGGACAGAUUAGUGAUGCCCUCAUCUUGGCUUCGGCCACUGGCUGCUUCUAGUUGUGUGUUCCGAUUUGCAACCUGCUGAGCGCCAAGUGGCGAACAAAAUUGGAAUCAAUUCUCCAUGCGGGUUGUGUCUCCGGCCAGAAAACAAAUCGAUCAAAUGAGACAACGCCGCUAGCCUCCGUCUUGGUGUGGCGACGCCGUUUCUGUCAGUUCAUCUCCGUGAGGAGUUUUAUCCCUUUUCGAGGACACCGUGUGGGGAUAGAUAGAUUUGUAGGCUGUAUCGAUUGGGACUCGCGAAAGGCUCAGUCUGGGAGAUUGAUGAACAGGCCCAGUUUGGAGAGCCAGGAAUUAGCUGACCGGGCCUAAUUUUGUUCUAGUUGUUAAAAAAAGACUAAAACAAAAAAUAUACUGCACACUGGCCCAAAAUUGGGGGCCCCUGGAAUUUUGAGGCCCUGUGCGGCCGCACAGCCCGCACAUGCCCUUGGACUGGCCAGAGGAAUAUGAUGGUAGAAACAUUCUCAAAGCACAUCUAAAGAACUUUCUAGAUAUUCAGAGGAUUUACUGGAAACAGAUAGCUACUAUAAGGCAGAUCAAAGUUGGGGAAGCUAAUACAAAAUGUUUUCUGGCCAAAGCUACAAUCAAGUUUAGAAACAACUGCAUAGCUAUGCUCAAAGAUGAACAGGGCCAUGAACACCAUGAUCACAAUGCCAAAGCACCCAUCUUUUAUAGGGCAUUCAAAGAAAUAUUGGGUACUUGCUCUCAAACUAUGAAUCACCUCAAUCUGCAUCACCUGAUCCAACCUUUACCCGACUUAGCUGAGCUUGAAGCACCUUUCACAAAGAAAGAAAUUGACAGAGUUAUCAGACAAAUGCCAGGUGGCAAAUCACCUGAUGGAUUUAAUGCAGCAUUUCUGAAAAGCUGUUGGGAGAUCAUUGCACCAGAUUUCCAUAGACUCAUUGAGGAUUUUCACUCUGGUCAUGUGAACAUUCAGAGCAUCAACUACUCUUACAUUACACUCAUCCCAAGAAAUGCCUCUGCCUCGGCUGAAGGCCCAUCUCUCUGCUCAACUGUACUCUUAAGAUCAUUACCAAGCUUCUUGCAAACAGGUUGCAAAAACUCAUCCUCAGAAUGGUUCAUAGGAAUCAAUAUUGUUUCCUCAACAGUAGAUGCAUUCAAGAUUGCUUGGCUUGGUCUUAUGAGUAUAUUCACCAAUGCAUGCAGAGCAAAAAAGAUAUCCUUCUACUGAAGCUAGAUUUUGAAAAGGCCUUUGAUAUGCUUAAUCAUGGCACAAUUUUGGAAAUUCUUCAGGCCAAAGGCUUUGGUCCCAAAUGGAUUCAGUAGAUCAAGAUGAUUUAUGGGUCUGGCUAUUCCUUUGUUCUACUCAAUGGAGUUCCAGGAAAGCAAUUUCUCUACAAGAAAGGUGUUAGACAAGGAGACCCCUUAUCACCCCUAAUAUUUCUGAUAGCUGCCGAUCUUCUAUAGACCAUAUUUAAUGAAGCUUAUCAGAACACAUUGAUUGAAAGCCCUUUCAUUCACAAUUCUUGCCCAGACUUCCCCAUCAUUCAAUAACAGAUGAUACCAUCUUGCUGGCAAAGGCAGACAGUAGACAAAUUCAGCAUAUCAAAAACCUACUUCUGCACUAUGCUGAUUAUACUGGACUCAAAGUGAACUAUGCUAAAUCUACAAUGAUUGCCAUCAACACUCAAACAGACAUGAUGAAUGCCCUCUCCAAUCUCCUUGGGUGUAAAAUUGGUACAUUACCACAUACAUACCUUGGACUACCACUUGGCAUUACCAAACCAAGAGUGGAAGAUUUUGUGCCCCUUCUGAAAAGAAUUGAAAGCAGACUACUGAGUUGCUCCACCAUGCUAUCCACUGGUGACAAAUUGAUACUCAUCAAGUCCAUUUUCACUAGUAUGCCCACAUUCUUUUUGUGCUCUCUAAUGAUUCCCAAGACAGUCAUUAAACAGAUCAACUCCUACCUUAUGAACUGCUUCUGGAGGAAAUAUGGUACACAAGAUAGAGGGCCUGUUCUGAUUGCUUGGGAUAAAGUCAGUCGACCAAAAUUGUGACGCCCGGGUAAUUAGGCUACAGUAAUCCCACGCUAAUCGUGCCAUGACACCUCGGUUACUGUUGUUGUCCUCGCAAUAAUUUGAAACCGUUCAAAAUUCAAAUUCAAAUUUAUGACAAGAAUAAAAGUUUUCAAAAAUUAAAACAAAAAUGUUCGGUGGUUGCCGAAUAUUACAAGGGUAAUUAUGGGGCAACAAACACCUUUUUAUAAAAUGGCUAAAUGGUUUAAAAUGAUUUAAACAGAAAAGAAAGAAAUAAUAAAAGAAAACAGAAAACAAACAAACAAAAAAAGGGAAAAGGAAAAGAACCCCCCCGGGCCAGCCGACCCAACUGGCCGGCCCAUUCGACCACCGGCCCAACUGGACAAAGGCCCAGCCGGCCACUGAUGGGGUUAUGUACCUAGGGUAGGGUCAUGGACCUGAUCUAAGUACCUUACCCAUGGACACCCUUAGAAGAAGUCGCCUUCCAGUCGACCAACGAGGGACACACUCGACUGACUUGAAGGACUCGACCACGAAGACUCACUCGACCACCAGAAGGUCAAGAGGCACUCUGCACUGCAACGGCCUGUAAUCAAGUAGACUUUAUGAUAGUAAAGGCACUUUAUGUGGGGCGUUACCAAUAACGCCCCAGACUUAACUCACCUUAAACCCUCUCCUACGUGGGCUGGCUGGGGUCCUGGCGCACUCUAUAUAAGCCACCCCCCUCCACAGGCAGAAGGGUUCGGCACCUUGUAACUCAUAUACUCAUAAUCCACUCGACCGCCUCCGGGCUCCGAGACGUAGGGCUGUUACUUCCUCCGAGAAGGGCCUGAACUCGUACAUCCUUUGUGCUUACAACCUCUCCAUAGCUAGGACCUUGCCUCUCCAUACCUACCCCCCACUCUACUGUCAGGCUUAGAACCACGACAGUUGGCGCCCACCGUGGGGUGGGUGUUUUAGCGAUUUUGUGGAGAAAGUUGCGAUUCUUCCGAGUACUUCCAUCAUGGUGUCUGCUGGAGUUUUGGUCGAGGGUCAAGAGAUCCGUCUCGGCACUCUCACCUUCAUCGCCGACGACUCCGCAUGGCUCCAGGAGGCUCCACUCGACGUGGAUGCGCUUCCCGUCCGCGGUGCGACGCAUUUUCGCGCAUGUGUCCGUGGCGUUCUACUGCGGCAACCGUCGACCCAGUAUCGGUCGACUCCUUUAUCGUCCACCCUCCCGGUCUCCCGCCAGCGCAAGCGCUCAGGCCGGUCGAGGCUUCAACGAUGGGUGAGGCACGCGGUGGCUCGCCAAUCGGCCACCACCCAAGUUGCGGCAAUCAAGCCCGACGAACCUCUCUACGGCCUGUUCGAUCAGUCGACUGGCUCCGUAGAGACUGCAUCCGAGUGCGGUAGCAGUGAUCCAGCGGCGGAAAUCUUGAUGGUCGACGGGCCCCACAGUCCCCCUGGCUUCGCCCGUGGUGGUGGAGCAGGCGACGGCGGCGACCCUACACGAGGCUAUGAAGAGUACCAGCCCGAGCCACUCGACUCUCUGCAAAGAGAGGAACUUCGCCGCAGGAACGAGGACCCCCUGCGUAUUCCCAUCGCAGGAGAAACCCCCGAGGCUCGUGCCUUGGAGGAGGCGCGCCUGGCCAAUUUGGCCGAGCGCACUCGACUGGAGAACCUUCAGCGAGCACUCGACGAGCGCGCGCGGCAACGAGUUCCCGACACCAGUCGACGUCAACUCUUCCCGCCGACUCAGGUAUAUCGAACCCCAAUUCAGAAUCUAGCAGCUGCGACCCGUAUAGCAGAGUCCAUCCAGCCUUCGCAGUCGGAAGCUGGCAGAGGUUUGCUGCAGAUCAGGGAUCUACUCCAGGCAGCAGGAGAUCAGAAUUCGGCCGUGUCUCACUCGUGCAACAGAAUUCACAGUCGAUCCGUCACUGUGAAUACGGUUCAGUCGGCGCACAGCCCCAGAUCGCCUCCGCGGCGUGAAGGGCGCGAGAAUCGGCGAGAUCAAUAUGGCGACAGACUCGACCGAGAUGAUAGGCGUCGAGUGCCCUAUUCCCCUCCGAGGGGUGGGUCUUACGCUCCUCGGCAGCCAGAUGAUAGGCGUCAGUACAGUACAGGGCACAGGAUUCCAGUCGACCCCAGAGAACCAGGCUUCGACGCGCGAUCCAUUAUCGUGCAAGGGUUGGUUGACCGGAACAGAGCCCAUCGAGGUGGACUCGACAGAGAUGUACCCACAAGCAGUCGAGUGCAUGUUUCUGGUCCUGAAUGUUUCAGCAGAGCUAUCAGAGCCGCAGUUAUCCCUCCCAAUUUCAGGUUGGCAUCAGGAGUCAGCAAGUUCACUGGUGAGUCUAAGCCUGAAACUUGGCUUGAAGACUACCGAGUGGCAGUUCAGAUUGGUGGUGGGAACGACGAGGUGGCCAUGAAACAUUUGCCCCUCAUGUUGGAAGGUUCUGCCAGGGCAUGGUUGACUCAAUUACCUCCUAGCAGCAUUUACACUUGGGAAGAUCUGUCCCGAGUGUUCGUCAGGACGUUUGAAGGAACUUGCAAGCGACCAGCUGGAUUGACAGAGUUGCAAGUCUGCGUGCAGAAAACUAAUGAGACUCUCAGAGAGUAUAUUCAGAGGUGGAUCACUUUGCACCACACUGUGGAGAAUCUGUCUGAUCAUCAGGCAGUCUGCGCCUUCAAAGAUGGUGUCAAGAACAGAGAACUGAGUUUGAAGUUUGGUCGAACCGGUGACAUGACCUUGGGUCGGAUGAUGGAGAUUGCUACCAAGUACGCCAACAGCGAAGAAGAAGACCGACUCCGAAGCGGCAAGCACAAGCCGAGUCAGUCGGAAAAAGGAAACACCAGUCGGAAACAGAAGCGGAAGGCUGAACCGGCAGCUCCUGGAGAGGCUCUGGCCGUGACUCAAGGAAAGUUUAAGGGGAAACCAAAAGGAUCCUGGAACCCCAAGAAGGUAAAGGAUAAAGAAGGGAACGACGUGAUGGAUAUGCCAUGUCACAUUCACACGAAGAAAGACGAAGAGGGGAAUAUCAUUUACCCGAAGCACACCACUCGCCAAUGUCGACUCCUGAUCCAGCAGUUUCAGGGAAAACAGUCUAAGGACAAGGAGAAGGAGUCAGACAAGGCCGAAGACAAGGAGGACAGUGAGGAAGGAUAUCCGCAUAUCAACUCCACUCUGAUGAUCUUUGCAGAUGUGGAAAGCAGAAGUCGACUGAAAGUGAUUAACCGAGAGGUGAACAUGGUUGCCCCCGCAAAAGCAAAUUAUCUGAAGUGGUCUCAAACACCCAUCACAUUCGACCAAUCUGAUCACCCGACUCAUAUUGCCACCCCUGGGAGGCAAGCUUUGGUGGUCGAUCCAGUUGUCGAAGGCACUCGACUGACAAAGGUGCUGAUGGAUGGUGGAAGUGGGCUGAACUUAUUGUAUGCAGACACAUUGAAAGGUAUGGGCAUUCCGAUGUCCCGACUGAGCACUAGUAACAUGAGCUUUCAUGGAGUUAUACCAGGGAAGAAGGCCGAGUCACUCGGCCAGAUAGCUUUGGACGUGGUGUUUGGCGAUUCAAAGCAUUUUCGCAAAGAAAAGUUGACGUUUGAGGUCGUGGAUUUUCAAAGUGCAUAUCAUGCCAUUUUUGGGAGACCAGCUUACGCGCGGUUCAUGGCUCGACCAUGCUACGUAUACCUCAAAUUAAAGAUGCCCGGUCCCAAAGGAGUGAUCACUGUCACCGAUGAUAGGAAAAAGGCAGAAGAGUGCUUUCAGAAGGGCUCCAAGAUUGCCGAUUCCCAGGUGACAGCGGUCGAGUUCGAAGAAUACAAGCAAAACGCAGAUCCGAGUGAUUUGCUGCGAUCCAAGAAGCCCGCCACAGAGUCUGCAUUCCAGUCAUCCGGUGAGACGAAGCCUGUUCACAUUCACCCGACCGACCCCGAAGCAGCUCCGACCCGCAUCUCCACGACACUCGAUCCAAAAUAGGAAGAAGCGCUCAUCCAGUUCCUCCGUGAGAACUGGGACAUUUUUGCAUGGAAGCCCGCUGACAUGCCAGGUGUUCCCAGGGGACUGGCUGAGCAUCGCCUAAGAGUCGACUCAUCUGCAAAACCAGUCAAAGAGCAUCUUCGGCGGUCCGCCGUCCAGAAGAGAAAAGCCAUUGGUGAAGAAGUGGCUCGACUGUUGGCGGCAGGAUUUAUCCGAGAGAUAUACCACUCCGAGUGGCUCGCUAAUGUCGUCAUGGUUCCUAAGAAGGACAAGUCGCUCCGAAUGUGCAUUGAUUUCAAGCACAUCAACCGGGCCUGCCCGAAAGAUCAUUUUCCUCUCCCUCACAUAGAUCAAAUUGUUGACUCGAUCGCGGGAUGUGAGAGGUUAUCUUUUUUAGAUGCCUACUCCGGGUACCACCAGAUCCGUCUGUACGGGCCCGACUAGGUAAAAACAGCUUUCAUCACUCCAUUCGGGUGCUUCUGCUAUAUCACCAUGCCGUUCGGCCUCAAGAAUGCCGGAGCCACAUUUAUGCGAAUGAUUCAGAAGUGUCUACUCACUCAAAUCAGUCGGAAUGUGGAAGAUUAUAUGGAUGAUAUCGUUGUCAAGUCGCGGAAAGGUUCCGACCUGCUCGCUGACCUCGCCGAAACAUUUGCCAACCUCAGAAGGUAUGAUAUCAAGCUCAAUCCAUCAAAGUGCACAUUUGGAGUUCCUGGUGGCAAGUUACUCGGUUUUCUCAUUUCCGAACGGGGAAUCGAUGCUAACCCAGAGAAGAUUGGCACUAUUCUCCGAAUGAAACGCCCUGUGCGAGUGCAUGAUGUCCAGAAGCUUACUGGAUGCUUGGCCGCAUUAAGUCGAUUCAUCUCACGACUCGGUGAAAAGGCAUUACCUCUUUACCGACUGAUGAAGAAGACAGACAAGUUCGAGUGGACUCCAGAAGCUGACGCAGCGUUUGCCGAGCUAAAAGCUCUGCUCUCCACCCAGCCGGUGCUUGCUGCUCCAAUCAGCAAAGAGCCUCUGUUGCUCUAUAUCGCAGCCACAGGACAAGUCGUCAGUACUGUGCUAACGGUCGAGCGGGAAGAAGAAGGAAAAGCUCUCAAAGUUCAGCGCCCAGUGUAUUAUUUGUCUGAAGUCUUGACUCCAUCCAAGCAGAGAUAUCCUCAUUAUCAGAAGCUUGUGUAUGGAAUAUACAUGACCACAAAGAAGGUUGCUCAUUAUUUCUCUGAUCAUUCCAUCACAGUCGUCAGCGACGCUCCACUAUCAGAGAUUUUGCAUAACAGAGAUGCAACUGGUCGAGUGGCCAAAUGGGCGAUUGAACUUCUUACCAACUGUCGUGGUUCUAAGUCUGACAGUAGAAUAGGGGUAGUAUAACGGAGCAUGAUCUAUCGAGAUGCAUAUGGGUGACACGGUGGUUUUAGCGAGUUCGGGCCUCUCACGGUGGAGAUAACAACCCUACGUCUCGUGCUCCGGAGAGGCUUUGUUUUAUCUGAGUAUAUAUCCGGAGAUUACAAUGUGUGUGAGAGAGAGGGACGGAUCCCCAUGCCUGAGCUAAGUCCUGAGACUAAUGGUGAAAAGAAAGAGAGGUGGAAGAAGAGCCCCCUUGUCUAGUGGUGGGGGGUGGCUUAUAUAGAGUGCGCCACCCCCUCACCUCCUAUGUUACAAAGUGGGGUAUGAAUGCCAUAAUGCCAGCCCGCUAUUAAGCCCUCACUAUUAGAAAGAUGCCGACUGCCUUGCUGCCUGCUGGUCUUCGUAUAUCCGAGUGAGUCGUACGGUCGAGUGGUGAGCCGUCAUCCGAGUGGAUGGUAUGUUGUUUGGUCGAGUGGAUAGUAUGCUGCUUGUCCGAGUGGAUAGUGUGUCUGUAUGAAAUUGACCUGGACCCACAUGUUGUGUGGGCCCCAUGCUUCAUGAUAUUUCGACCCUUCGUGGGCCUACCUGUUAUGUAUAUCCCCAACAUUAGCCCCCGAAUCGAUUGCGAUUUUGCAGAACGAGUUGGUGUAAGACACAGUUUGGUCCGAGUGAUUACAGAAAUACUCGGUACAUGUCGCCGCGCUUUCAGACAACCAAGGUUUGAACAAAAUCUCAAUGGAUUCCGGCACCAUGCUUCCCGACUAAUCGAGGUAAGCGUCUGUGAGGAGCAACUUGGUGACAUUCGUUCAUCUCUCGGGAGAGGUUUAACUCGUGAUCUGAGUAUGGGCGUGUCAUUAAAUCCGUGCAACCAGAUUGACACAUGGACUGCUUUUUUAGAGAGAUGCCAUUCUUAUCCCGGAGGAACGCCAAUACGAGUCGGUUUCAGAUCCACACUUGUGAGUUUCACGCUUUGAGUCCUAGAAGAAGGUUCAAAACAGGUCCAUGGAGGAGCGUUAAACUCGCCUUAUAGAAUUUUUUGGAGUGAUUUGGAGCUGGGCCUACAUCGAGUAACUGAUUACUCGGAAUUUCUUCACGCCUGGAACGUGUCUUUUUUGUUGUUUGGCCGUCACUCGGGUUGGGCGAACCGUUCCGAGUGGAUACCAUUCCAGUGGGGGCACGCUGAGUGCACCCACUGGGUGUAGUCCCCGAGACUGCUGUCGACUGCAGGCAGUCGGCGGGAGUCUUAGAGCCUGUCUUUUUGUUGUUGUUUGGCCGUCACUCGGGUUGGGCGGACCGUUCCGAGUGGAUACCAUUCCAGUGGGGGCACGCUGAGUGCACCCAGUGGGUGUAGUCCCCGAGACUGCUGUCGACUGCGGGCAGUCGGCGGGAGUAUGAGAGAACUAAAACUCUUCUUAGCUGGUACUGAUCGAACUUGUUCUUCUCUGACUCGGAGGUCGAGUAAUACUGGAGAUAGGUUUACAUCGAGCAAAAUGUUUCUUUCUGAGUCCUCUUCCAGUGGGGGCACGCUGAGUGCACCCACUGGGUGUAGUCCCCGAGCCUCUGUCAGACUAGAUGAGUCUGACAGAGGGUUUAAGUUUCUCGUUAAACCUCCAUGCAGUUGGCAUGGCAAAUAUCUUUGUCUGGAAUUGAAUCAAUCGGAUGGAUGCGUAACGAAGUGGUUGUACGAACGAUGAGUAAGGUCGCCUGUACGAUUCAGUGAUGGCGCUUCAUUUUUACCCUUUUGCAUGAAAAGGGGUAUUUAUCCAAGUGGACGUGCUUCACUUAUAGAUCUUCGGCGAACCGAGCAUGUAUGGUCAGAAGAAUAUCUUGAUGUGAUCAACAGGUUGACCAAAUGGGCGUAACCCCUGAGGGUGACAUGGCCAACUGCCGCGCGUAGCCCCCGAGUGGUGCUCGAAGGAGGUAAGCUUGCUACAGAGUGUGAUAUGAGGUUUGACCAUAUGAGUAACUUAGCCGUUCCCGUGCUGGGGGUGUAGAGGUAAAGACAUGUCCAACUGAUGGUGACGCGCGGGGCGGCCGAGGGGCGAGGACGUGUAUAACCGAGUGGCGACGCGCGGGGCGGCCGAGGGGCGAGGACGUGUCAAAACCGAGUGGCGCCGCGCGGGGCGGGCGAGUGGUGAAGACGUGCAGAACCAAGUGGCGAUGCGCGGGGCGGCCGAGUGGUGAAGACGCACACAACCGAGUGGAGACGCGCGGGGCGGACGAGUGAUGAAGACGUGCGCAACCGAGUGGCGACGGGCGGGGCGGCCGAGUGGUGAAGACGUGCAAAACCGAGUGGCGCCGCGCGGGGCGGGCGAGUGGUGAAGACGUGCAGAAUCAAGUUUGAGGCAAAGAAAGCCAUUAAGUCCCAGGCAAUAGCAGAUUUCCUUGCCGAGUGGAUUGAACAGCAGCAGCCGACUGAAGUUCACUCGGAGCAUUGGACCAUGUUUUUUGAUGGCUCGAAGAUGUUGAAUGGUUCCGGUGCUGGGGUUGUCCUGGUUUCCCCCAGAGGAGAUAAGCUCAGAUAUGUGCUCCAGAUUCACUUUGAUUCCUCCAACAAUGAGGCAGAAUAUGAAGCCCUCUUAUAUGGGUUGCGCAUGGCCAUUUCACUCGGCGUCCAUCGCCUGAUGGUCUAUGGCGACUCGGAUUUAGUGGUCAAUCAGGUGAUGAAAGAGUGGGACGUGAGAAGCCCAGCCAUGACUGGAUACUGCAGUGCAGUGAGGAAGCUGGAAAAGAAGUUCGGGGGGUUGGAGCUCCACCAUAUACCCCGACUGAAAAAUCAAGCAGCUGAUGAUCUAGCAAAGAUAGGUUCCAAGAGAGAAGCCAUCCCGAGUGGUGUGUUCUUGGAGCAUAUACACACUCCGUCAGUCAAAGAAGAUCCUUUCACCGAAGAAACUCCACAGCCCAAGAGUGCCACAGAUCCGACUGAAGUUGAAGUCCCAGCGGUGGUCGACUUGAUCAUGGAGGUUUUGGUGGUCAUUCCCGACUGGACGAUUCCGUAUGUCGCAUAUAUCCUGAGGAAAGAGCUCCCGGAGGAUGAGGAAGAGGCUCGGCAGAUCGUCCGUCGAUCUAAGGCCUUUACCAUAAUCAAAGGACAAUUAUACAGAGAAAGCGCGACUGGAGUUGGUCAGAAGUGCAUAACACCAGAAGAAGGUCGACUCAUCCUCAAUGAUAUUCACUCGGGGACCUGUGGUCAUCAUGCGUCCUCUCGGACCAUCGUGGCCAAAGCAUACCGAGCCGGAUUUUACUGGCCAAAGGCGAAUGAGAUGGCAAAAGAGAUAGUGGAUAAGUGCGAGGGAUGUCAAUUCUACUCAAAUAUGUCACACAAGCCUGCGUCGGCUCUGAAGACCAUCCCACUCGUCUGGCCUUUCGCAGUAUGGGGAUUGGACAUGGUCGGUCCUUUGAGAACAGGACGAAGUGGCUUCACGCAUGUACUGGUGGCAGUCGACAAGUUCACCAAGUGGAUCGAGGCUAAACCAAUCAAGAGCCUUGACACCAGUACUGCUGUUAGCUUCAUCAGAGAACUAAUAUUCAGAUAUGGAGUCCCACACAGCAUCAUUACGGAUAAUGGGUCGAACUUUGACUCAGAGGAAUUCAGAGAUUUCUGCAACUCCCAGGGCACACGGGUCGACUACGCUUCAGUCGCCCAUCCGCAGUCGGAUGGACAAGCAGAGCGAGCUAAUGGACUGAUUCUUAAGGGAUUGAAGCCUCGACUGAUGCGUGAUCUCAAACACGCGGCUGGAGCUUGGGUCCACGAACUUCCCUCAGUACUCUGGGGACUGCGGACCACACCUAAUCGGUCGACCGGAAGAACUCCAUUCUUCUUGGUCUACGGAGCUGAAGCAGUCUUGCCGAGUGAUCUUCUCCACAAUGCUCCUCGAGUUGAAAUCUACAACGAAGCAGAGGCUGAACAAGCGCGGCAAGACGCAGUCGACCUUUUAGAGGAAGAAAGGGAGAUGGCUCUGAUCCGGUCGACCAUCUACCAACAAGAUUUGCGUCGUUUCCACGCCAGAAAUGUGAGAGGUCGAGCCUUCCAGGAAGGAGAUUUGGUUCUUCGAGUGGAUCAGCACAAACCACACAAGCUUGCUCCUUCUUGGGAAGGCCCCUUCAUCGUCACCAAGGUUCUCCACAACGGGGCGUACCGUCUUUACAACGUCAAGCAUAAUAUCGACGAGCCCCGAGCUUGGAACGCGGAGCUACUCCGCCCAUUUUACACUUAAGUUUUAUCACUCGGAUGAGAUGAAAUAAAGUACUUCUGUAGUUCAUGGACCUCAAAAUAAUAGUGUCAUAGUCCCUCCAUAAUUUCUGUCGCUUUUUAUUUUUGUCCAAUAAAAUUCCCCCUCAGUGGGUGACUUAGCUGCGAAUCCGUUUCGCCUAAGUUUGUAAAAAUCCUACCGAGUGGCGAGCCAGACUCCCACUCAGAGGCUUAGCUGCGAAUCUGUUUCGCCUAAGUUAUCAAAAUCCUACCGAGUGGUAAGCCAGCCUUCCACUCGGGGGCUUAGCUGCGAAUCUGUUUUGCCUAAGUUAUCAAAAUCCUACCGAGUGGUAAGCCAGCCUUCCACUCGGGGGCUUAGCUGCAGCCCUGUGCUCGCCUAAGUUAUAAAAAUCCUACCGAGUGGUAAGCCAGCCUUCCACUCGGGGGCUUAGCUGCAGCCCUGUGCUCGCCUAAGUUACGAAAAUCCUACCGAGUGGUAAGCCAGCCUUCCACUCGGGGGCUUAGCUGCAGCCCUGUGCUCGCCUAAGUUAUAAAAAUCCUACCGAGUGGUAAGCCAGCCUUCCACUCGGGGGCUUAGCUGCAGCCCUGUGCUCGCCUAAGUUAUAAAAAUCCUANNNNNNNNNNNNNNNNNNNNNNNNNNNNNNNNNNNNNNNNNNNNNNNNNNNNNNNNNNNNNNNNNNNNNNNNNNNNNNNNNNNNNNNNNNNNNNNNNNNNNNNNNNNNNNNNNNNNNNNNNNNNNNNNNNNNNNNNNNNNNNNNNNNNNNNNNNNNNNNNNNNNNNNNNNNNNNNNNNNNNNNNNNNNNNNNNNNNNNNNNNNNNNNNNNNNNNNNNNNNNNNNNNNNNNNNNNNNNNNNNNNNNNNNNNNNNNNNNNNNNNNNNNNNNUCUCAUUCGGAGGCUUAGCUGCAGUCCGAGCACUCGCCUAAGUUACGAAAAUCCUACCGAGUGGUAAGCCAACCCUCUCACUCGGGGGCUUAGCUGCAGUCCGAGCACUCGCCUAAGUUAUCAAAAUCCUACCAAGUGUAGAGCAACCCUCUCACUCGGAGGCUUAGCUGCAGUCCAAGCACUCGCCUAAGUUAUCAAAAUCCUACCGAGUGUAGAGCAACCCUCUCACUCGGGGGCUUAGCUGCAGUCCAAGCACUCGCCUAAGUUAUCAAAAUCCUACCGAGUGUAGAGCAACCCUCUCACUCGGAGGCUUAGCUGCAGUCCAAGCACUCGCCUAAGUUAUCAAAAUCCUGCCAAGUGAAGAGUAAACCUCUCACUCGGGGACUUAGCUGCAGCCCAGUGCUCGCCUAAGUGGACUGAAGAAUAAGUUGAUUGCAGUAAAGACGCCUUGCUUUGAACCUGCAAAAGACAUUUCGAGCCAAAGGCAAUCAUAUUCAAGCACCAAAUUCAAGUUUUGAAUCGAUAUCUAAAGGAACCGAGAGUGCUCAGGCGUUAAGCCUGUUAAGGUUUAUCGGUUACAAUUCCACUCGGCAUACCGAGGCAAAUUUAAAAGCGUCGAGCCAGAAGAAGUUUUUUACCCCUCCUGUGGAGGGCUGGAAGGAGCAACGAAUUCAUCAAGGUCAAUUCCGUCGGCGAUCCGAGUGGCAGCUGCAAGGAAAGUUUCCAUAAAGGACCUGAAGUCGUGCUUCUUGGUAUUGGCCACCCGAAGGGCCGCCAGCUUCUCUUCUCGUGCAUCCUUACAGUGGACUCGGGCAAGACACAGAGCAACAUCUGCACCACACCGAGCCGAGGACUUCUUCCAUUCCUGCACUCGACCAGGAAUCGUGUUCAACCGGGCCAUCAGCGAUUCAAGGUCAUUCUGAAGUGUCUCCUCAGGCCAAAGCGUCGAGUCGAUGCGAGAUGUGGCAGCCUUCAGCCUUGCGAGAUAGUCCAUGACAGCUGCAACACGGGACUCCAGUCGGAGAACAUCCAUGGCAACUUCAUCGUUCACCGGAGAAUUGACGGGGUCGAGGUUUGGCUCCAGCCGGCUAGUUUCUUCUUCGAAGUUUUGACAAAAUUCUGCAAGGGUGAUCACUAAGUCAAGGAGAUGGUCGAAUGGAAAAUCACAAUUGGAAAUGUCUGCCAAGCAUAGAGGUUUACCUUCAAGCAUGAGAAACAGCUUCUUGGCAAGUCCACUCAGGAAGGCCUCCAGAUCAGUUUUCUUCCCAGUCAAUUUGGCGACUUGGUCGGUCAGGGCAGCUUUAUCGGUUCUCAGUCGACUGACCUCCUUGUUGGCAAUCCCAAGAGCAGCUUUCAGAUUGGUAUUGUCUUGUUCGAGCUUGGUGACUGAAGCUAACUUCUCGUCAGCAAGCUUGAUCUUCUCAGCCAGCUCAAGGUCUUUCUUCUGUUGGGCCUCCCUUACCUUACCUGCAAGUUACAGCAAGAUCAGAUUUUGAAACAAGCAAGGGGAAAAGCAGUCGUCAGGGUCUCACCAAACAUACCUUCGGUCUCCUCCUUUGCCUUUGUCAGCUUCUCCUGAACCAGCUUCAAGCUCAGCUCGACUUGAGUAUGCUUGUGCUCCAGCUCUGAGUAGCGAGCCACAAGAUCACAAGAGUUCUGCGAAGAACCAAUCGACUAAAUGUCAAAUCUAAUUCACUUCCGAGUGAAAAAGGGAAAAACUCACGUUUCUAAGACUACAGCCGAAUACAAGCAUUCGACCGUAGUCUCGGGGACUACACCCAGUGGGUGCACUCAGCGUGUCCCCACUAAUCCUGUUGAAGACAAAGUCGACCAGUCGACCUCAAAAAAAAAGAUGUAUUCUCUAAGACUGUGAUCAACUGCAAGUAGUCGACCACAGUCUCGGGGACUACACCCAGUGGGUGCACUCAGCGUGCCCCCACCGGUUUGUGAAAUCCAGUCGACAUAGUCGACUGACAGAAAAAUUGACAACAUGAAGCCUAAGGCCGACUGCCAGCAGUCGACCUUAGCCUUGGGGACUACACCCAGCGGGUGCACUCAGCGUGCCCCCGCUAACACGGAGUUUUAUCGACACACCCAGUGGGUGACUACUAUAAAUUCCGGAAAAGAAAAGUUUUUGGUGGUAUAUCCAACAGAACAAACAGCGGUCGACUGACCUGGACAUUGCUUUGGAGGGCAGAACUGGCGUCAUAAGCUGCCUGGCUCGCGUCCCGGAUGGUCUUCAGCUGCUCCAUCAUGAGUCCCGCCUGGCGUAUCGCCUCCUUCGCCGCGCCGGCUUGGUCCUCUGGGACGUGGUGCGUCGUGAAGAGGGAGGGCCGCUGAGCACUCGUCAGUGGAUUCGCGAAGGACACCGUGUGUCGAGUGGUGUUCUCUUCCUCCACAGUCAGAAUCUCAGGCGCCGCCACAUCCUGAGGCACCUUACUGGCGGACGUUUUCCGACUCCUCCUGCGCUGCAGCGGCUCUUCAUCCUCAUCAUCAUCAGGGAGAUUGAUAACAGUAUUGGGUGGAGCUACAGAGAAAGAUCAGGAUCAGAGAUCGCGAGUCAGUCGACUAAGAACGGCGUUAAGAAUACAGUACCUGGGUUCGAAGUUGCUGCGUCCUCCAUCUCGUGGUCAUCAGCCUGGGCCGAGGUUUCAGAAGUAGCAGCACUACAACUCCAAAGGAUCAGUCGACUAACUUCAGCGUCGACCAGAGACAAAGUUCACACAAAAUGAGAAGAUUCAAACAACAUGAUUACCCUGAUAUGGUAGGGAUGGACACCUUCAUCUUCGGUAGGAGCUUGAUCGGCUUCGACGAGGCCGCCCUGGGCUGCUUCGGCGCCUUUUCAGUCGGCACCGGAGAGGUGGUCCGAGGGCGCUUGGUCGACUGAGUGGCGGUCGCAACCCCCUUACCACGUUCAGUCGAAGGGUCGUGCACAAGCUUCGACCGCCUUUCUGAGCGCGGUGGUACGACCUCCUCCUCCUCUUCUUCCUCGUCCUCGACGUCAUCUUCAUCACCGUCAUCAUCAUCGUCGUCGUCAUCAUCCUCUGCAACAUCCGAGUCCCAUUCCUCCUCUUCCUGGCUCUCGCCCCCGCUCGCCUCGCCCUCCUCAGUCGAAGCUUGUGCCCCAUUGGGCAUCGAGUACAGCUCGGUGAGGGCCUAGCAGAUGUCCAGACAAGGAUCAGUCGACCAGUCGGCAGGGUAAACAGAAAUGAAUGCGACAAGAGCGCAGUGGAGAGCAGGGCAAGUGUACCUUGUUUGGGUCGCUGUUGUGGUCGAGUGGAGGAAUCCUUCUGGCUCCGCGUGGGUUAUCCUUAUUCCCGGUAACGGCUACCAUCCACCUUUCCAGAGUGACGUCGUCGACUGCUUCUGGAUGGACUCUAGUCUCGUCUUCGGUCCCACAGUACAACCACAUGCAGUGGCUCCGGAACUGAAGGGGCUGGAUGCGACGCCUGAGGAAGACCUCCAGAAGGUCCAUGCCCGUCACUCCCUCCCGAACCAACUGCACCACGCGCUCCAUCAACAUCUUCACGUCAGCUUUCUCCUCCGGAAUCAGCUUCAGAGGGGAGGGCUUGUUCACUCGGUCCAUGGUAAACGGAGGGAGUCCACUAGACUGCCCUGGCGUCGACUGGACCUGGCAGUAGAACCAAGUCGACUGCCAGCCUCUGACGGACUCGGGAAAGGUCAUGGGCGGGAAGGUGCUCUUAUUCCUCACCUGGAUCCCCAGGCCCCCACACAUUUGGACGACUCGGGUUCUCUCAUCACCUGGGCUCGCCUUCUUCACGGUCUGAGAGCGACACGUGAAUAUAUGUUUGAACAAACCCCAGUGCGGUCGACAGCCCAAGAAACCCUCACACAUGGACACGAAUGCAGCAAGAUAGGAAAUGGAGUUUGGGGUAAAGUGGUGAAGCUGCGCUCCGAAGAAAUUCAAGAAGCCACGGAAGAAAAUACUCGGCGGCAAGGAAAACCCACGAUCAACAUGAGUGGCCAAAAGCACACACUCACCCUCUUCUGGCUGUGGCUGCCACUCCUUCCCCGGAAGCCUCGCAGCUCCGUGAGGGAUCAAGCCCUCGUUGGCCAUGUCGAGGAGGUCCUUCUCUGUGAUGGUCGACUGGAUCCAGUCUCCUUGGACCCAGCCCUUCGGCAGACGGGAUCUGGACGAGGACCCUCCAAGGCUGGUGGAUCUCCCCUUCGCCUUCUCCGACGCCGACGCCUUCUUUGCGCGCUCCAGCGUCGCCGUCUUCUCCUUGGCCAUGGUCGCCGGCGAGAUGCGCGAAGGGAAGUGGUGCGGGGGCGAGAGCGAGCACGCUGGGCGGAGAAGAAGGAAGCAGAGAGAGGGAGAGAAUGCUGAGGCGCAGCACAGAAAUCCUCGCCGGGCACAUUUAUAAGGUCUCUUCCGAGUGGAUGACAGGUGGGCCCGUCGAUCUAAUCAUAUCUGGGAGCAGUUACGCAGACUGGAUACGUGGCGAAAAAGGCGGCGCGGAGAUCGAGGCGUCUAUGCCCCGUCCCAUCCGAACGCCGCAGUCCGCCCCGCUUCGCGCGCGUCCCCAAAUUUCGCAUCCCGCGGAAUCCGCGAACAACAAAUCAGUCUGUCAGAUGCGGUGUUUCCGGCGAUCCGUCGCUCGGAGAUCGUCGAAGCCCGAAAGAUCACUCGACGCAAAAAUAGAAUGGAUCGAGUCGACUGAAGGCAAAUUGCUCCCUGUCGACGAAGAGAUUCUUUGGUCCAGGACAACGCACGACCAGGGCACAAAGGUUAAUCGGAAACGACAUCAACUCCUUCCUCACUCGAAGCCUCAAUCCAUUCGGGGGCUAAUGAUGGGGUUAUGUACCUAGGGUAGGGUCAUGGACCUGAUCUAAGUACCUUACCCAAGGACACCCUUAGAAGAAGUCGCCUUCCAGUCGACCAACGAGGGACACACUCGACUGACUUGAAGGACUCGACCACAAAGACUCACUCGACCACCAGAAGGUCAAGAGGCACUCUGCACUGCAACGGCCUGUAAUCAAGUAGACUUUAUGAUAGUAAAGGCACUUUAUGUGGGGCGUUACCAGUAACGCCCCAGACUUAACUCACCUUAAACCCUCUCCUACGUGGGCUGGCUGGGGUCCUGGCGCACUCUAUAUAAGCCACCCCCCUCCACAGGCAGAAGGGUUCGACACCUUGUAACUCAUAUACUCAUAAUUCACUCGACCGCCUCCGGGCUCCGAGACGUAGGGCUGUUACUUCCUCCGAGAAGGGCCUGAACUCGUACAUCCUUUGUGCUUACAACCUCUCCAUAGCUAGGACCUUGCCUCUCCAUACCUACCCCCCACUCUACUGUCAGGCUUAGAACCACGACAGCCACCCCACUCCCCCCAUAACCCCCACCCCUGGUCAAACCCUAACCCAACCACCCGCACUCCCCCCACGCCGUUCCCCCUCUCCCGAUCCAAUCUGGAUCGGGGACGAGACCCCCACUCGCCCCACCCCGCUCGCCCCCCUCGCUCCCUCCCCGAUCUGGAUCNNNNNNNNNNNNNNNNNNNNNNNNNNNNNNNNNNNNNNNNNNNNNNNNNNNNNNNNNNNNNNNNNNNNNNNNNNNNNNNNNNNNNNNNNNNNNNNNNNNNNNNNNNNNNNNNNNNNNNNNNNNNNNNNNNNNNNNNNNNNNNNNNNNNNNNNNNNNNNNNNNNNNNNNNNNNNNNNNNNNNNNNNNNNNNNNNNNNNNNNNNNNNNNNNNNNNNNNNNNNNNNNNNNNNNNNNNNNNNNNNNNNNNNNNNNNNNNNNNNNNNNNNNNNNNNNNNNNNNNNNNNNNNNNNNNNNNNNNNNNNNNNNNNNNNNNNNNNNNNNNNNNNNNNNNNNNNNNNNNNNNNNNNNNNNNNNNNNNNNNNNNNNNNNNNNNNNNNNNNNNNNNNNNNNNNNNNNNNNNNNNNNNNNNNNNNNNNNNNNNNNNNNNNNNNNNNNNNNNNNNNNNNNNNNNNNNNNNNNNNNNNNNNNNNNNNNNNNNNNNNNNNNNNNNNNNNNNNNNNNNNNNNNNNNNNNNNNNNNNNNNNNNNNNNNNNNNNNNNNNNNNNNNNNNNNNNNNNNNNNNNNNNNNNNNNNNNNNNNNNNNNNNNNNNNNNNNNNNNNNNNNNNNNNNNNNNNNNNNNNNNNNNNNNNNNNNNNNNNNNNNNNNNNNNNNNNNNNNNNNNNNNNNNNNNNNNNNNNNNNNNCGUCGCCGAACCCUGACGCCGCCCGGUUCUGCCCCGCCGUCGCCGAGAGCCACCCCAUCCCCGUCGCCACGCCGGACGCCCUGACCUCGCCGACGGACGCCGCUCGCCGGAGCCGCUCCACGUCGCCUCGCCUCCUCAUCGGCUCCGUCAAGCCUUGCCGGACGUCCUCAUCCGCUCCGUCGUCCGACCACCCCAACCUUCCCCCAAGCCCGCUGCCCGUGCCCUACUCCCUCCCCUGUGAGCUCCCCCUCUCCUCGUCCGUCACCGCGGUCACCGCACUCUGCGCACGCCCCUGGCCAUCGCCCUGUACGCGCCCCGCACGUGCUCACCGCGGCCUCGUCUCGCCCGGCGUGCCGUCGCGCCGAGCCGCACCCGCAGUGCUUCUCCUUCCCGGAGCGCUCGCACCUGCCGUGGCCCGCACCACCGCAGCCCCCUGCUACCUCCGACGCGACCACCAUCGCCGCUGCUGGCCACCCUUGGCCUCGCCUUCGGCCCUAUGCCAGCGAGCCCGCGACCGGAUGGCCACGGCCUCGCCCCGCAACCGGGCGGGCUACGGCCUCCGCCCGGCGCCCACACCCGCUAGGCCUUUGGCCCACUGACAAAGGGGCCCCAGCCCCAGAACAAAAAUGUUUUAAAAAAGAGAGAAUUAAAAAUAAUAAUUAAUAAAAAAUUAAUUAAUUAAUUAAUUAACUUAAUUAAUUGUGUUUAACUAACCUAAUCAAUUAACUAAACUAAUUAAACCUGUUUAGUUAGUCAUAGACAAUGACAGUAGGACCCACAUGUCAGUUUGACUAGGUCAACUGAUUAGUUGACUGCUGAUGUCGGCAUGACAUCAUGCUGAUGUCAUUAAUCUGUUUUUCGAAAUAAUUUAAAUAAUUAAUUAAAUUCCAGAAAUUAAUAAAAUCUUUAGAAACUCAUAUCUUUUAAUCCGUAACUCGGAUUAAAAUAUUUUCAACAUGAAAGUUGCUCAGAACGUCGAGACGAUUCCGGAUACGCAACCCGUUCGUCCGCCACACCUCCCUAACCUAUCGAACUCGUAACUUUCCCCCUCCGGCUCCUCUGCCCGAAAACGUGAAACACCGGGGAUACUUUCCCGGAUGUUUCCCCCCUUCACCGGUAUCACCUCAUACCGCGUUAGGGCACCCCUAGCAUCGUUACUAGUCUUGUCAUGCAUCGUUAUGCAUCUGUUUGCAUUGUAUUCAUUGUUUCUUCCCCCCUCUUCUUCCGCUAGACACCGAGACCGACGUCGCUGCUGCCCAGUACGACUACGGUGUUGACGACCCCUCUCUCUUGCCAGAGCAACCAGGCAAGCCCCCCCUUUGAUCACCAGAUAUCGCCUACUCUUCUCUAUACCGCUUGCAUUAGAGUAGUGUAGCAUGUUACUGCUUUCCGUUAUUCCUAUCCUGAUGCAUAGCAUGUCCUUGCUACUACUGUUGUUACCAUUACCUGCUAUCCUACUGCUUAGUAUAGGAUGCUAGUGUUCCAUCAGUGGCCCUACACUCUUGUCUGUCUGCCAUGCUAUACUACUGGGCCGUGAUCACUUCGGGAGGUGAUCACGGGCAUAUACUAAAUACUUUACACAUUUACAUUACUUAUGAUACUGUUCGGAGAUGGGGGCUGAAGGGGCAGGUGGCUCCAUCCCGGUAGAGGUGGGCCUGGGUUCCCGACGGCCCCCGACUGUUACUUUGUGGCGGAGCGACAGGGCAGGUUGAGACCACCUAGGAGAGAGGUGGGCCUGGCCCUGGUCGGCGUUCGCAGAUACUUAACACGUUAAACGAGAUCUUGGUAUUUGAUCUGAGUCUGGCUACUGGCCUAUACGCACUAACCAUCUACACGGGGACAGUUAUGGGCACUCGACGUCGUGGUAUCAGCCGAAGCCUCGUGACAUCAGCGACUGAGCGGCGCGCGCCGGGUUGGACCGCGUAACGCAACUUCCUUUGAUAUGGAGGUUGCUAGGUCUGCUCACCGGCCGCGUUCGCAACGUGCAGGUGUGCAAUGGGCGAUGGGCCCAGACCCCUGCGCCAUAGGAUUUAGACCGGCGUGCUAACCUCUCUGUUGUGCCUAGGUAGGGCUGCGACGUGUUGAUCUUCCGAGGCCGGGCAUGACCCAGGAAAGUGUGUCCGGCCAAAUGGGAUCGAGCGUGUUGGGAUAUGUGGUGCACCCCUGCAGGGAAGUUAAUCUAUUCGAAUAGCCGUGAUCUUCGGUAACAGGACGACUUGGAGUUGUACCUUGACCUUAUGACAACUAGAACCGGAUACUUAAUAAAACACACCCUUCCAAGUGCCAGAUACAACCGGUGAUCGCUCUCUCACAGGGCGACGAGGGGAGGAUCAUCGGUUAGGUUUAUGCUAUGCGAUGCUACUUGGAGGACUUCAGUCUACCCUCUCCUACAUGCUGUAAGACGGAGGCUGCCAGAAGCGUAGACUUCGACAGGAUUAGUUAUCCCCCUCUUAUUCUGGCGUUCUGCAGUUCAGUCCACUGAUAUGGCCCUUUACACAUAUACCCAUGCAUAUGUAGUGUAGCUCCUUGCUUGCGAGUACUUUGGAUGAGUACUCACGGUUGCUUUCUCCUUCUUUUCCCUCUAUCCCUUCUACCUAUGUGUCGCAACCAGAUGUUGGAGCCCAGGAGCCAGACGCCACCGUCGACGACGACUCCUACUACACCGAAGGUGCAUACUACUACGUGUUGCCCGCUGAUGACGACCAGGAGUAGUUAGGAGGAUCCCAGGCAGGAGGCAUGCGCCUCUUUCGAUCUGUAUCCCAGUUUGUGCUAGCCUUCUUAAGGCAAACUUGUUUAACUUAUGUCUGUACUCAGAUAUUGUUGCUUCCGCUGACUCGUCUAUGAUCGAGCUCUUGUAUUCGAGCCCUCGAGGCCCCUGGCUUGUAAUAUGAUGCUUGUAUGACUUAUUUUAUUUAUAGAGUUGUGUUGUGAUAUCUUCCCGUGAGUCCCUGAUCUUGAUCGUACACGUUUGCGUGUAUGAUUAGUGUACGGUCAAAUUGGGGGCGUCACAAAAAGAUCAUGGUGGCCUUGGAGUACUUGAUCUCCACGCUCAGAACAUGGCACUGCUCAUCAAGUUCCUCCACAAGUUUUUCAACAAAAUGGAUAUCCCCUGGGUCAACAUAAUUGGGAAAAGCACUACCAGAACAGAUUGCCUGGAGAACAAUUGGUAGGUUCCUUCUGGUGGAAAGCUAUUCUGAAGCUCCUGCCAACCUUUAAGAAACAUGCUAUGUGCAAAGCAGGGAAAGGUGACACGGUAUUACUAUGGACUGAUAACUGGAAUGGAUUGCCACUCAGCACCAAAUAUCCUGAACUACAUUCUUUUGCAAUCAACCCAGACAUUACACUGCAUGAAACUAUGGAACUAGAGGAUUACAGCUUGCUAUUCCAUAGGCCACUGUCACAACAGGCUUAUGAGCAAUACACUACUCUAGUAGACUUUUUGACAACAAAACAGUCAAUGAGGAGAAAGACAUCUAGACUUACACUUGGUCAGCUCCUAAGUACUCAUCCAUGAAAAUGUACAAGGCCAUAAUGGGUACUAGAACAACACACAUUAUCUUAAGAGACUCUGGAAAACAGCAUGCAGGCUACGGCAUAAGAUCUUCUUUUGGUUGUUACUUCAUGACAGAGUUAGUUCAAGAAGUCUGCUACAGAGAAGAAACAUGUACCUGCAGGAUUACAAUUGUGCACUUUGCUCAGAGGCCACCAGUGAAACGAUUACACACCACUUUUGGGAUUGCCAAUUUGCUACUGUGUGUUGCAGUCCAUCAAUCCAACUAGACUGAGAGGAAUCCAUCAACCUACCAGAGGCCAUUUCAAUGGAAAUUCUCAUUAUGGGAUGUUGGAGCUUGUGGAUGAGCAAAAAUGAUAAGAUCUUCAGAAUGGCUACCCCAACGCUUGACACAUGGAAGUAUUACUUCAAAGAGGGACUGAGAGUUAGCAGAACCUCUAAUUUAGCUAUGUUGUUCCCUAAAACAGGCAUUGGCUGAACCUGUUAUUGCAUUCUUUGUUGCUUUGUACAUAUUAUUUAUUAAAUGAUAAUAUAGAUAAUAUACCGUAGAACAAUUGUUCUACGGUUUCGGCUUAAAAAAACUGGGACAAGUAUGCAAACUGCCCCGCUCCCGAGUGAUUCCACAAUUUGUAUCCUCCUUCCAUUUCCACAUGCUAAAUACCACUUGGCUUCCAACAAGAUGCAGCAGUUAUACACUUCCUAGUGCCGAAUUCAAAUGACACUGGUGCAUAUAAUCUCCAGGGAUUUUUCCUCAAGGAAGUCCAAAAUUCAGUAGAUGAAAAGAGCGCGCAUAAAACACAAACUUCACAAACUUCACAGGUCAUAGUUUGGUAGGAAAGCCACGAAGUGGUUUUAUACUUCAAACAUAGGUGGUACUUAUAUCGGUAUUUCACGCAUAAUCGAAUUAGUACAGGACCGUGAUGACCAGUUUUCUCGAAUCACUGAGAGAUAGGAUAGGUAAAUAUCAAUUGCAAAACCAAAUUAAGAAAAAGGCCACAUGAAAAUGAAGCCACUUUAUUUGCAAACACCCGCAGAUCUGGGCCAUCACUUGGUCCCGAUGAACAGCCCCCACCUCUGCUCACCAGCAGAGCUCCUCUGAAGUUUCGCGUUCCACCCAGUCACAAUGUCAUCAUAGUCCUCCUGAAAAUAAAUCAAACUAACAAUUAGAUAUGCUUGCAUUUUUUUUAGAAUAUUAAGAUAUGCUUGCUAGGAACAUCGAAAGAAUGGAGACAUCUAAACUGCCAGUUCAUGGUUGGGCCUGUUAAGGGCUUACCUGGCCGAAGUCAGCCAGAAAUUCAUCUUUGUUCUUUUCAACUUCGGCUAGCUCCCUCUGUAAAACUUUCAGGAACUGAAAUGCAGAAUUCAGCAUUAAUUAGUAUCCAAGAAACUGCUCUCUACAUCUUUUCGGAAGAAAACAUAACACUAAAAGUUGCAAGCCAAUGAGCUGGUGAGGGAAUAACCUGAUCAGUGCGGUCUUCAGCAACGACAUCAUGGAAACCAGCAUUCUGUAGCAUCUGCAUAGUUUUGAUGUAUAUACAAGUUAAUGGAGAUCCAACAUUUUCUUACACAAACAGUACUAACAAUAUAUCAUCGCAAUUAAGUGGCACCUGUCCAUAAGUCUCUACGUUAUGAAGGUCGUAACCCCUCUGCUUAAUGUAUGCCGCAAACUCUUCAGAUGGUUUUCCUGGACUCCUACAGUAAUCACUGAUUAGGACCUUACCCCCAGGUUUUAGCCAUUUGAAGAAACUUCUAAACAAAG